GAGGUAAUGGUGUUGCUCAUAGUCUUAAAAGGUGCUCACCGUGACAAUAAGAUAAGCUUCGGGCGGUAUUAGCAUUUGCAAGUUCUUUGUUUUUGUGAAUCUCAAUGCUAGGGGCUUGAAAUGGUUCUUGACAUCACUUGCAGAUUUGAAAGACUUUGUACCCUUCCAACAUAUUGGAAGUGUUUGAUCAUCUGUUGCUCUUUUCAACUGUUUUCCCUUUAAAUCACUACUUACCUGAAUCAUGGAUCAGAGAUUAUAAACUGAAGAUGGUGGAACAUUUAUCUUUAGGCCAUAUAAGGCAAUGGAACUGAUGAUUGAGAAUUAAGUUUCCAUCUUACCAAAUCAACUAUAGCUUGAUAUGUUUGGGCAUUGAAAUAUGUGUAAGAGCUCCCACUGUCAAAGAUUAGUUCAAGACCCUUAACAGUAGUAGGCUUUCCAUUGAACAGAAGUUCUGCUGGUCCUGAGCUAUAGUGUUUUCUGAAGCAAUGGAAUGUGUAAGAUCUCAUGAGUGAAAACACAUGAUACGUGUAUGGAACAAAGGACCUCAGAAGCGAAAAAUUGUCAUUGUUUUGAAACUUACUCCAUAGAACUAGGCAACAUGGGUGUCCAAACAAUUCCUGAUGACGGAAUAAGAUCAUCUCCAAAGAAUAAAAACCCUCCUCCUUGCGCACUUAAGCAGUGGCCAACCACAUUGCGAAUCAGACCCAGAGAAUGAAGUUGGGACACAAUGCUUGAUCUGCCAUUCCCAAGGCCAAUGACCCCUGCUGUAGAAGGUGGGGUGAUAGGACCAGAAUACUUUUGAUCAUAUCCACACCUAGCCAUGCAUCAGAUAAAUGAACUAUCAAAUCAUUCAAGAAGAUGAAUAGGAAAUUUGCAGUUCAAAUUGGAAGCCAUUGUAUCAUGCAUUAUUGUAAAUCCUUCUACAAUGGAUUUUGAAAUCAAAAUCAAUUCUUUGAGAAGGCUAUGAGAGUAGCUUCUGGCUACCAGCAUGCCAGAAUUGAUUCGGAGGAAACAAAAUCUGAUCCAGAAACGAUACAAUUAAAUUUUGUUGCCCUAUUUACUAUCAAGCACAAUUUGACCAUAACUUCUUUUUAGCCAUGGCAACUGCACCAUUACCAAUUAUCUUAAGUAGUAAAUACAAGUGCAGCUACUUUCAUACAUAAGGAUAGCAGCAAAAGACUCACCCAAAAGCUAUCUUAGGGCGCACCACUGAGCCAUUGGUGAAAUGGAGGUGAAUGUGGUCUCGGACUAGCACACCCAGAGAUGAUCCAUGAUCUGCAUACUCAACCUCAUAGUCACAUUGUUCAUCUGGGGCAGCACAUUGAUUGUCUGUUGAUAGGCGCACUCCAUCACACAACUGAUCCACACAAUUGACGAGGUUGUUGUUGGGUCUAUAAAGCUGAUCCAGAGGCUGCAAACAUCAAAACCACAUGAAGAACUAAUGAUGAUGGGGGUAAAAACUAAAAACUAAAAAGAUUGGUUGCAAUUCAUUCUUUGGAAUGAGGCCUAGCUAAUCUAAGUUUUGUUUUUACCUUGGUGCAACCUUUACAUGGUCCAUCACACUCAAUCCAAGUGAGGUCACUACCUGAGUCAAUAUCAAGGUCGUAAAACUUGGGGGGAUGGCCAAUGUUAAUAAACACUGUGUAAUACCUGCAUAAAGAAGAAAGAUAUGUUUUUCCACAAAAUCAGUGUAAUUUAAACUUAACAAAAAUAUCUGAUUCACUUUAGAAAUUAAACAAUCAUGUUCUUUUUUCUAAAAAAAGCUGGUCCAAAAGUGACUUAUUGUGUGCAAAGAGAAGAAACUUGUGAAGCUUUAAAAGGAGAAACAGCAAAAAAGGACCCCAAAAAACAGUUAAAAUGUUGAGUCAAACUACUUUCUUUGUUUUCCUCAAAAACUCAGAAAUUGAAUGGUUGGUACAUCUGAAAUUUCCUAAGAAACUAACCCUUAGAAGAACUAAUCUGAAACAUGAAUCAGUUUUGUUUUUAUAAAGUGGAUAUGCAUAAAAAAAUUAUAAAAACAUAAGCAGAGCUCAAAUCAGAACACAGUUAAUUACUAGAACAAAAAAAGGAACUUUAAUUAUACUAAAAAAAUUGCAGAAAAAUGAAUAAGCAAGUUGAGGAUGAAGUUUGAAGUUGAACAAAGAGCAAAGAGUCACAUACCCAAGAGGGUAAACAUUCCCUUGAACCUUGAAAACAGCUGAGGAGCCAAGCCGAUUCUCUGUGUUGCGGGGGUUUUUGGCGUUGUGGGGUUGAUUGACAUCCGAGAAAGCGAGUGGGAAAAUGGAAGAAAAUACCAGAAAGUGCAAAACUGUGUGCAAUGAAGAUGAUGCUAAUACCCAGAAUUUCAAAUCCAUUUGUUGGAAAUGGUUUAAUCAGAAAGGGGCAAAAAGUUACAAACUUGCAAUGAUUUCAAGAAGAAAAGGGUGUGAGUGAAGCAAGUGAUGAAGGGGGAAAAUAGGAAGAAAGAAAAGGGGAAGAUAGAAAAUGAAAGGAAAAAGAUGAGACAAUGAAAUUAUGGAGCAAAGUCUGGCGUGUCUGUUUUAUGGCUCUAGGUUUUGGUCCGGUGGCAGUUGGCACUUGGCAGAUUGAUGUGUGUUUUAAUGGCUGACCAAGAAAAUGAAAAAAUAAAAAACGAUUUUUAAUGAAUUUUUAUUAGACUUUGGAAUUAUUUAGCCAUAAAUAUAAGACUUCUAGAGACAUUAUUAGACUUCAUAAAAAAAAUAGACUUUUUAACAUAGAAUUUAAUGGAAAUGCACUGUCAGUGUAAAUAUUGAUAAAUAGGUGUAAUAUCCUACGGGAUAUUCCUUUAUUUUAAUUAUUUAUUUAUUUUGUAAUAUGCCUCAGAAUAUUCUUAGCAUAUUCUAUCAUUUUAUUAUUAUAAAUAAUAUUGACUACCUCACACACAAUUGGUGGUGAGAGUAUCCAAUCUUACAUGAUAUCAGAUUUUAAUUGAAACCCUAGCCUCUAGGCUCUCCCUAUGCCGCCACCCUCUUUUCUCCAUUUGUGAAGGUGCCUUGAUUUUUGUGCAACAGCUUUUUCCUUUUCCUUUGCAGUCCUCGUGUCCUGUGCGCGUCCCCACCUUGCCUUCCGUGCGCCGUCGUUUUCUGUCCUUGCUUUCCGUGCUGUCACCUGUGUCGUCUUUCUGUCCAGCCGCCAGACCGUUUUGUCCUCGCGCCGCCAGACCACCUAGUGCUUCGCGCCGCCAGACCGCAUCGUGCUUCGCGCUGCUAGCAUCUUAUCACACUUUCCACGCCGCCGGCUCUUACAACAGCUACCCGACAGCUCCCCCUUCUGCCAGACCUCGUGUCUUGUGCGGUGCAACAACAUCUGCCUCCGGCCGUCAUCUCUCGGUCUUCACGCUGGUUUGGUCUUCAUUAAUUUAUUUCAGUUUUUUGACCAGGUUGACUACAUCUCUUGACCAAGGGUUGACCACAGUUUAAUUCUAUUUUUUUUUGGGGGGCGAUUGUUAUCUCGUUUUCCACAUGGCUUCCGAUGCAACUCCUCCAACUUUUUCCAUGAACACUUUGGUGCAUAUGCUUACGAUGAAACUUAAACCCGAUAAUUUUCUNNNNNNNNNNNNNNNNNNNNNNNNNNNNNNNNNNNNNNNNNNNNNNNNNNNNNNNNNNNNNNNNNNNNNNNNNNNNNNNNNNNNNNNNNNNNNNNNNNNNNNNNNNNNNNNNNNNNNNNNNNNNNNNNNNNNNNNNNNNNNNNNNNNNNNNNNNNNNNNNNNNNNNNNNNNNNNNNNNNNNNNNNNNNNNNNNNNNNNNNNNNNNNNNNNNNNNNNNNNNNNNNNNNNNNNNNNNNNNNNNNNNNNNNNNNNNNNNNNNNNNNNNNNNNNNNNNNNNNNNNNNNNNNNNNNNNNNNNNNNNNNNNNNNNNNNNNNNNNNNNNNNNNNNNNNNNNNNNNNNNNNNNNNNNNNNNNNNNNNNNNNNNNNNNNNNNNNNNNNNNNNNNNNNNNNNNNNNNNNNNNNNNNNNNNNNNNNNNNNNNNNNNNNNNNNNNNNNNNNNNNNNNNNNNNNNNNNNNNNNNNNNNNNNNNNNNNNNNNNNNNNNNNNNNNNNNNNNNNNNNNNNNNNNNNNNNNNNNNNNNNNNNNNNNNNNNNNNNNNNNNNNNNNNNNNNNNNNNNNNNNNNNNNNNNNNNNNNNNNNNNNNNNNNNNNNNNNNNNNNNNNNNNNNNNNNNNNNNNNNNNNNNNNNNNNNNNNNNNNNNNNNNNNNNNNNNNNNNNNNNNNNNNNNNNNNNNNNNNNNNNNNNNNNNNNNNNNNNNNNNNNNNNNNNNNNNNNNNNNNNNNNNNNNNNNNNNNNNNNNNNNNNNNNNNNNNNNNNNNNNNNNNNNNNNNNNNNNNNNNNNNNNNNNNNNNNNNNNNNNNNNNNNNNNNNNNNNNNNNNNNNNNNNNNNNNNNNNNNNNNNNNNNNNNNNNNNNNNNNNNNNNNNNNNNNNNNNNNNNNNNNNNNNNNNNNNNNNNNNNNNNNNNNNNNNNNNNNNNNNNNNNNNNNNNNNNNNNNNNNNNNNNNNNNNNNNNNNNNNNNNNNNNNNNNNNNNNNNNNNNNNNNNNNNNNNNNNNNNNNAUAAUCAGCCUUCUCCCAUUCCUUCUUCUCAGAAGCAUCAAUAUCAGCACACUUUUUAGUAAGGUGCUCUGACAAACCUUGACCCAAAAACCAGAUCUCAACAACAUUGGACCAAUCUAGAUAGUUUGCAUCAUUCAACUUCUCAUAAGUGAUUUUAGGAGUCCCAGAAAAAGCGAAUGAGAUGAGACUCUUCUUCUCACCCUUGGGAGACUUAUCCUUCAGCAAAUCCUCCAUGAAAAAAGAACAACCAGAAACAGGAAAAACAACCGCAACCAAACAAAUCCAAACACACUUCAAACGAAAGGCUCACCGAUUGAAUCACGGUGGUGGCAGCAGCGGACUAUGGUAGCAGCAGCCGGCAGCAGUGGUGGCGUCCGGUGGUUGCUUUCGGAAAUCUAGCCGGUAAAAAUAAGGGUUAGCCUACGACGGCUGAAAACCCAACCCAAAANNNNNNNNNNNNNNNNNNNNNNNNNNNNNNNNNNNNNNNNNNNNNNNNNNNNNNNNNNNNNNNNNNNNNNNNNNNNNNNNNNNNNNNNNNNNNNNNNNNNNNNNNNNNNNNNNNNNNNNNNNNNNNNNNNNNNNNNNNNNNNNNNNNNNNNNNNNNNNNNNNNNNNNNNNNCCGCCGCUAAACACAUGUAUCAUUGGCCACACGCUUAUGCGGUGCUUACUCUGGUACAGGAGUUUAAGCUGAGUGUAGGCUACCUUAGUGAGUUGGCCCAAUAAAAUUAAUACAUAUGUACAUGUCAUUAAUUAGUUAAUUAUUAUUGUAUUAAUUAUGAUUUGCACUCUCAGUUUUGAAUAAUUCCAAUUAAACCCUGUUAUGUUUGGGUGAAAUUCUCUCUUCGAACACAACGAUGGUUUAUAGGGGCAAAUUGGAAUUUGAGGAACCCUUGUUUUCCUACGUCUUAGGUUUUAAGGGGCCAAUUGAAACCCUAAUUUUUUUAGGAUUUUGAUUUUUGACAUUUGAGGAAAUUAAAAGACACAGAAGGACGAAAACGAACUCAGGUGUUUAGAUGGGAAAAUUCAGCACUGUGUGGAAUACCGGGGAAAAUUGAAGUUGUUAUGAACAAUCCUUUCAGAAAUUGGUUCUUGUGCUUUGUCUUUUUACUUGUGCAUGUCGUUGAACUUUUCUAGUUUCUGGUCUCGUGGUCGAAUUUGUUUUUUUUUUUUGGUAGACGUUGAGUGAUGUAUAAAAGGGGAUUGGGUGAGCAAGACCAUGUUCCUGAAGAGAUCUAUGAAGCUCUAAACUUUAACUAGUAGAUGCUAAUGACGUGAAGGUUCAGGUGAGGCAUGGGAGACGUUGGAAAGUUGGACCUGUGAUUCUUCUAAAAGAAAGUCUUUGGGGUGUAGUUGUAAUUAACAGUAGUUUUGGGCAAUAAUUAGAAAUAACAUAAAUAAUUAUGAUAAUAAAAUAAUCAACACAAAUGUAAAAUCUUCAUUGGACCACAUCAUUCCGGUAUGCUACCCAUAAAAAAAUUCCUGUACAGUAGAAAUCGCCCGCUUAUGCAGUCUUUGUAUAAGUACUCUUAUUUCAUUUAACUUUAUGGUAGUACAAUAUAUACAAAAAUGGGAAAAGUCUGGCUACAGAUUUAUUAGUAGAAAAUACACAAAUACAUAAGCAUGCAUACAGAGGAACUUUAUGUGAAUAGUAAUAUUAAUGCAACAUUUUCUUCUUCAAUUCUUCAAUCUCCCCGUGAGCAAUGGGGAAAAGCAUAAUUAACAACAGAGACUUUGGUGAAACUCUGAUGUUUAGUUUCAGGUAGACUCCUGAUAUUUGCUUCUAUCAGCCUUGCUGCCCUUAAAUCAUGACUGAGAGCAUUCUCUAACUGAAAAGGAUUUAGAGAGCUUCAGGUUGAGAUCUUCGAAUCUUUUGGAGGUGUGUUAGCAAACUUCCAAGAAAAAUGAUCGAGUCCAUUGUGGUGUCUCCCACCUGCUACAUCAUCAGUGGGAACUGCCUCAGAAAUUUCUCUCAGGUCCUUUUCUGAUAGUUUUACUGCUAAGGCACCGAUAUUUUGAUCUAGGUUCUUAAUCUUUGUUGUUCCUGUCAAGGUAUAAACAAUUGUAAACUUACACAGCAAAACAUGGAUAAACAGAAAAACACAUACAUGCUUCUUGGUUGAGUAGGAGAAAGACAAGUAGAAAGGUGAAAAUGAAAUCUCGAAAUACUAUAAAGGAGAAAGACAUAUGUGCUCAUAUACGCUAGACGGAAAUUUAUAUAGUUUUUCACUUGUUUAAGCUGUGAACUAGUACAAUGAUAGAAAUAUACCAAGUGUCCACGCCUAAUAAUUUAUUCAGGCUAAUAGCAUGUUUGUAUCUAAAGCACAAUAACUCCAGAAGCUACACUAUGGGGUUUUGCACAGCGGAACUAAACGUGCUAGAAAAAGAAAAAUUCUGAUAUACUUAAGAUACUAGCUCGGAGCAGCAGGUAUCAGAGAUAUUGAUAAAAGUCAUAAAACACAGCCAAGGAAGAGAUAGAAAACUCUGUUAUUACUGAAAGUAACCCAGGUUAUUCGAGAAAACCUGGACUCUCCACAACUCAAUUACACAAAUGAUCCCCAAGGAUGCUUAACACCCACUAACCCAUUUAAGUACCUAUCAGAUAUUUUGCUAUAUACCACUAUUUGUCUAUUUCAAAUAAGUACAUAUUUUGUCACUUACCAGGAAUAGGCACAACAUCCUUGCCUUGUUGGAGUACCCAUGCUAAUGCCAAUUGAGCAGGAGUGGCCUGAUGCUUCUUAGCAAGACUGUCAAUUCGAUAAUAUAUACUCUUAUUCUUGUCCAAGUUCUCAGCUUGGAAGCGGGGAUGUAUAGUCUGAUAUAUGUAAUAACCAUAAGGAAAUUAAACAACACAUUUUUUCACAAAAGAAAGUCGAAUUUUUAGAAUUUUUCCACCAUAGUUGAUACAUGACAAGAGAAGGGCAUAUACACAAGUAUUUGCAAUUGAAUGGAUAUUUACACAUAAGACAACAACCCAUCAAAUAGUUAAUUAAAUUAAAGGAUUAAGAGUUCAUCAUUGCUUAUUAGAUAAUUUGCAACAUCCUAACAGUUCCAGGGCAUGCAGCAGAAACAAACAAUUAAGUGCUAAAAUGCUUUACCAGAGAGCUACUUGCAGACACACUUUCCACAACACCUUUUCCGCCAAAAAAGCCACCACCAAGAGGACCAUACGGUACAAUGCCAAUACCGAGCUCCCUGCAUCAAUAAAGCAUUAAAAAUCCUAAGUCACAUUAAUACAAACAUUUAACCAUCAAGUAGCUCAUUGAAUUUUUUUUAAUGAAGAAACAGUCACGAGAGCUGCAUUUAUAUCCUAUGAACUUGGAGAAGAACUCAAACUAACCUGCACAGAGGAACUAUCUCCUCCUCAAUGUCACGAGUCCAGAGGGACCACUCUAUUUGUACAGCUGUGAUGGGAUGAACUGCAUGUGCUCUUCUUAUUGUAUCAGGGCUGGCUUCAGAUAACCCAAUAUACUUGAUUUUACCCUCUUCCACCAAUUUCUUAAGUUCACCUACCUAUAACAGAACAAAAUUAUUAGCAAAAAUUGACAUGUAUAUAAUGUGCACUUUGCUAAAACAUAAAAGUCUCCUUUCAAAUUUCUCAAGAGAGAAAUCCUUACUGUGUCCUCUAUUGGUACAGAUGUGUCCACCCUGUGCUGAUAAUAGAGAUCAAUGUAUUCAACAUCAAGACGUUUCAAGCUAGCUUCAAUGCAUGAGCGCACAUAAUCAGGUGAACCUUGGACAAGUAUAUCAGAAAGAGCUGUAAAUUGAUUAAAUUCUCUUCUCGUGAUACCAAAUUUUGUCGCUAACUGGAUCUUUUCUCUAGGUAGCUCCUUUAAGGCCUAGAAUCAACAAAAUUAUAGGAUAGAAUAACAAACUUAGUCAGUAGUUCCAUGGUAACUAAGAGCUUUUCCCUUUAAAAUGUUAUAUUUAGUCAGUUAAACAUGGGCAAAGUUUUUAUGAUAGAAAAUUCAAUUUCAAUUAUGUAGACAUAGACAUGAGUAGUACAAUAAGAAGGAAAAGGAAAUCCAUUGUAGUUUUUUAUACCUUUCCAACCAAAUGUUCAUUUGCACCAGCAGCUCCAUAACAAUCAGCAGUAUCAAAGAAAGUGAUCCCUUUGUUGAAUGCAUACUUAAUAAUAGAUACACCAUCCUCUUCAGCAACAGGGUCAUUGUAGGCCCAACUGAGGCCCAUACACCCAAAUCCCAGUUUUGAAACCUAAAAACAAAAAGGAGUGAAACAAAAAUCUCAGUUUGAUUUUUUCACACCUACUUUUUAAUAUGCCCUGCCCCUUUGUAUCAACUCAAUUUUUCACAUACCCUUGUAGGGUUUGAGAAAAAUGAGGUUGAAUGAAAAAUUACUAUUUUAAUAAGUGCAUCUUUGGUUUCACAAUCCCUCCCAUGUUGACACAAACUUGAGGGUUGCUCUAACAUUUAUAAACGUACAUGUUUGGUCAUAUCACUAGUCAAUGUGAGACUUAUAACACUAAGACUUGAAAUUUCUAAUCAAAAGCAAUUCUAGAACAUUUCACUGACAUGCUAUUUCUAGUAGUUGCAGUAAGAACAUGACAUGAGAAAAUAUGAAGAAUUAAUAUAACACCUCAAAGCCCUGGGUUCCAAGUUUCACACGAGGAAUCAAUCCACUUUGCUGUGCAGCCAUUUUGGUUUCUCAGUAAUAUCAAACUCCUAAUUGCAUAUAUCCAAUCCCCUUUGCAUCUAUAUAUAACAAGUGCUUAAUUUCACUUCUUUUCUUUGAUCUUUAAUUUCGUCACUGGAUGUGUCAGCAGGGUUCAUUGUUUUCAUCACUGAAUAUGUCACUAUAUAGCGAUGAGGUCUUCUGAAAGAAACAGAAGAUUCAAGGAUUGUAUAUUAUAUUCCCACCAUUGAUAACAGAUUCCUAUCUGGGACGUAUAUGGGUGGCAUAGAAUUGAUGGCAGCAUGAGAGAGGAUGAUGAGGUACCGAAGUGCGUUCCUAUCAUCAAAGUUCCAUGAACCAAAUCGCCCCUCUCUACGGCACGACGGCGUCACCAAAGGUAUUCAGGGCUUACAGUUACCCUAAUUUUAUAUUUUAUUGCCUGUAUUUUGAUUUUGAUAAAUUUGUGGUUUGCAGGGCGAUUCUCUAAAUCAGAUACAAUACCCUCUAUUUCGUAGAAACCCUAAAUCAGAUAGAGGCCGAUGCUCUACAUCAUAUCUUCCAUAAAGGUAAGAGCUUUUAUGUUUAUAGCAAAUCUUGAUUCUCUUUGUGAGUCAUUUAUGUUCUCAUUGAACUGAGGUUUUGUUUUUCUUUUCUUUGUUGUGUUGAUUAUUGAAGCAGCUUACUAACGUGUCUGAAAGGGAACAACAUUCAGGGUAUUCCAUGUGAGAGCUUGAACAUCACAAAAUAUGAUUGAAAACUGAGCAUAGGAAGAGCUAUACGCAGGUUGAGCUUCUCUCAAGUCUUUUCCCUUAAUCUUCUUUGAAUCUGUUAAUCUCAUUGACUUAUCAUUUUUCUUUCAAUCUUUUACUAUCAUUAAGGUAUGUAGAGACUACAAUUGUGUUUAUUUAUGAGUGUUUUUUGAAUUGCAGGUGAUGACUACAAGAUCAAGGUUUGGAACUAAAAGUUGUACAUGGGAUUGUUCACUCUUCUGGGUCACCUUGAUUACAUUCGCACCGUCCUCACUAGCCAGGUAAAUUUCUCCUUUUCAUAACUACUAUUUCAGUUACAUCUUCCAAUUGAAAUGUUAUUAAUCAUUUUCCCAUGACAAGUCAUAAAGAAUUAUAUUUCUGUUACAGCUUCCCAUGAUUUUCUCUUCUGAUGAUAUACAUCAUAAUAUUAGAUGCUGAUUGAGCAAUAGAUGGGAAAUCACAAUUUGAAUUUGAAAAUUGAUAUUGAAAGUUAGUGCACCUAGAAGAGUGAAUUCAGGUUUCCUCAUAUUUCUUCUCCUCUUUCUUCUCAAUUGUUUUCUUUAUUCUUGAAAUUAUAUGAAGAGUGAUUCAUUUUGUUAUCUCUUUUUGGUUAUGAUUUUUAAAAUUUCAUUUUGAAAGGACAUACUCUUACAUUUUCAGUAAUGAUACUUGGCAGAAAGCUAAGGUAAUCUGGUGGUUAUAACUUAUAAUCAUACUUGCCAAGAAGCUAAUGAUGCAGGCUAAAUACGUUCAGAUUUUAAAUGCAUGAACAUAUGUAAUCAGCUAAAGUAAUGUAUGUUAUAUGUAAUGAAAUUCAAGUUGCAUCUUCAUGUUAUACUUUCUGUCUGAUAUUUCAGUUAGAGUUUGUUAUAGGCUAUAUGAAGGGAGAGUAUCCCAUGGUCUACAAAAAGAAAUAACUUUUUUUUUUUAUUUUAAAGUAGUAUCAUAUCUAUAAUCAAGGUACUUACCUGUUUCAUUAAUUAUUAUUUUUUGUUUUUGAAGCUUUAGCUUUCAAGAUGCAUGAUUUCAUUUCAUAUAAUCACGCUACACUGAGAUUAUGAGCCUCUAAGUUUCAUGUUAUUCAGUCUCACUGUGUGAUAAUCUGUUGCAGCAAGAGAGGUUGGGGAAGGAAGCCGAUUUCUGAAUCAUGUGUUCUCUCGCCUGCAAUAUUUCACACAUAUACCAGGAACCAUUUUUGUUUUCAUGGUGCAGCCUCAGAUUACAACAACUGCUAUGAAGUUCACAUCCAACCCUACUAUUGCUUAUUGCAGGACCUUGCCUAAAGUUCAUUUGCUAUGAAUUCUCGAACUUUAAUAUUGAGGUGAGUUAUGAAGAACUAUAUCUAGAACUAAAUCCUAUUCUGUUCUUGUGCCAAUUUUUAAGUACUUUUGAUCUGUGAUGUUUUUUCUCUAUUUAAUUCUCUGUUUGUUUGCUGAUCAAAAUCUAACUCUCAAUGUUUGUCAAUAAUGCAUGCUUAGUCUAUCAUAACAUCAUAUCUGAUGCUACAGAUAGAGUUUUGCAUGAGAUUUCAAAGAGCUUUUGAUAAGAUGUAUUUGUUGUCUCUCCAGAUAAUUUAUCCUAAUAAUUGUUUUUAAGUAUGAGUAGUUAAAGUGAAUCAGUAGAGAUUCUUUUCUCCUAAGAUUGAUAUUUGUGAUGGAAACUACCUUUAUUCUCAUAGUUGAUUGUAUCAGUUUGAGGUCCUUGGGAGGAGACGAUAGUUGUCGCAGGUUCAUCAAGGUUCAUGCUUUCCCUGUUAACUUUCUUACCCUUUUGCAAUCCUUUUCAUCUCACUUUAUUUCUGCAUUGGUUCUUUUUAGUUCUAAAUCAAUAUAAGUUUUUGAGAAUGUCAACGAGAGAUUGAAUUGAGCAAAUAUCUCACAUGUCACAUUUUGGUUCUAUUCUACAAUCAUUGUGCCAGCGGAGUAAGAAAACUAUAGGGAAUGUUGUUUGGAAUCUGUUUUGGGUGGUUUAAAGGGCACUGAGCCAAUACUUAUUGUGAUUGCUUUUAACAUUGAACAAGCAACUAUCCCUUAAAUUUUCAUUUACCUAAAGAAAUUUAAAUAAUCUCUUCAGUUUGCGAUAUAGUGAGAGAAAGCAUUACCCUUCUCAAAAACUAAUUUAUAAACCACCAAAAUUCAAAAUGAGCAAAACUCAUCUCUUAAUGCUCCUACCUUGUGUACAUUUCAGAUUAGCUUCCUCUGGAAAAUCAAUCAAAAUUCAAAUGCUUCAAGCUUCUGAAGCUUGCUACCAAACUAUGUCCAUAAGUAACUAUGGUACAAAAUCUACAUCAUGUUAUCCUUGCUAAAUAUAGGACUUCAGAGGUCACAACAUCAACCAAAUUGGUCGUAGAAACUUUGUAUACGAUAUAAUGUUGAAUUGUAUCCAAACUCACAGAAGGUUUUCCAGUAGAAGUCACUUGAAUGUAACACGCUCAACCUAAUAAUUUACAAUACCUUGGUAAUGGAAAUUGGUAAUCUUCUGUAUAAUGAAGACAUUCUCUUUGCCAUUACGCUUAACGACAUUCUUUUUUUCUUUUUCAUAUGCCAGUUGUUUAUAACUUCUCUCCACAUUUCUAUUGAUGGUAUCUCAUAUAUUGCAUUCAGUGUGUGUGUUGAUAGUCGUUUUGAGGAACUUGGGUGGCAUGUCUUUGGGCAAUAAAUGGUUACACUAGCUAUGAUGAUAGUCAUGCUACCAUUAAGGAGCAAAAGCUGUCAGAGACAAACCCACACCAUUUAAUUUUUGGCAUCCAAUCAGAACUAGCAGAAUCUGUCAUUCUUGUGGCACUGAUGUGUUUAGAGACUCUUCUUUCCUUCAAAAACUAAAAUUUGAUCUUUUAAACAUCAAGAUGCAUCUUCCUAAAUUUAUAGAAUGCAGCUUUGUGAGAUGAAUAAGGUCUGAGGAAUGAGGGAUUGGGAUUGAGCAGGCUUCUAAGUGGAAGUGUGCUAUUUUUUAUCAGCAUGUAAGUAAUUAAAAAAGAAAUUAAGAAACCCAAAGACUACUAAACUAUGAAGUGAUGGCACAAUGGUCUCUUACCUGGUGUAUUAAAGUUGUUCAAUUUUAUCUUUAGUUCAAUGCUAUGAUGAGUUCUAAUUGUUUUGAAGCUCUUGACCAUUGAUUCGAUGAAUAAUGGAUUAGUGACCUUUUUCAAUGUACAUGCUCAGUUGCUCUAUGACUGUACUCUGUAGAAGAAAAUUGAUUGUUGUCAUGAGGGUCCAAAUUAACAUUAAGUUUAUUUAAGUUUCUCAGCCAUUUUUUCAAGCACUGUGCCUCAAGAAGACAUACUUCUCUAUUUUUUUACUUUUAUUUUGCUUCACAUAAUUGCUAAAGGGGAUCCAUCAGAUUCUAUUUAUAUGGAAGUAGAGCUGGAAAGGUUGUCAUAUAAUAACCAAACUUUCUCACAAUGCAAUGAGUCUGGAAGGUGGACAAACCUUGACCCCUGAGUCAAGGGAACAUCUCAUAUAUAUUGAGGUUUUAUGAUUAAACUUUCUAUUUAUACUCAUUGUUAUGAAUAAAAUUUACAUUUGUUUGUUGAAAACAUGAGAUAGCUUAAAAGAGAGGCAGAUAUUGAGCACACAAAUGCAGAAGAGGAAAUCGAAAUCUGGAAGAAUGAACCUAUAUUCGAGAUGGUGCCUUCCUUUGAGCUUGAAGCAAAGGAGUUUACAACUCAACUGGCUCAUCGCCUGUGGAUUGGCUCAUCGCAUGUGGAACACUUUACAAAGAGUGGAACUUUUAAGGAGAUAUUUGGACUCAACUUUGCCCCACAAUUUUCAAGUAGGAAAUCAUUUUGUUGACAGCCAGUGCGUGGCAUCUUUUAUGAGUUUUAAUGUAGUUUGAUAUGGCCAUGUAAAAAUUUUCCAGCUCUAUGUAUAACAUAGUGAAUUCUUUUUUCCGAAACUAUAAAAACAAAUUGAUUUAUGUUGUAUGUUUUUUACUCUUAUUGUCAAAGAUUUGUUUAUCUGUUGUAGAUUUCAUCUAAGUUGAACAUCAUGAAUGGUUUUAUACAAACAUAGCAACUUGGAUCUUGGUAACAUGAACCUGUCAGAUGAAAAUUCAUUAAGGGUUAUCAUGUUUGUAUAAAAAUAAAUUAUAGAAACUCAUAUUGAAUUUUCAUUAAACGUGGUUUAAAGUAUAGUGUAGUUUAACUAUGACUUACAAAAUGUCUUCUUCAGCAGCAUUACCAAUAGAUAUUGUGUAUUAUAUUCUUUCUAUAAACCACCAAUGCUAAUAACAUCGAUUUAGCUCCUCUAAGAAGGUAAAAGAAGCAUCAUAAUUAUUAUGAAUAAUGCUAGAAACAUUCAUGUGAGGUCCACUAAAAAUGUGGGUCAUUUUUUCAAAUUAAUGGGACUUACAUUUGUAAGUUAAUAAGCAUGGUUAUAAUCAUUUCAAAAAAAAAAUCAUGGUUAUAAUAACACGAGAGUGAACAUUAAUUUUUUUUUUUUGAAAAGCGGGAGUGAACAUUAUAAUGAAAAUGCUUUCAUAUAUAAGCUAAUAAAACAUUUAUGUUUAUAGAACUAAAGUACUCAUUUAUAUUUUUUAAUAAUUUUAGGAGUUGAUAUGUUUAUCUAUUUCAAUGAAAUUCUAUCGUUGAUUAGUUUAUUGAGUUAUUAUUUUUUAAACAUAAAAUAUGAUUAUUUAUAUAUAUCAUACUUCCCCGUAUCAGAAUUCACAAGGGUAUAAAUUUUGAUAGUGAAUGUCAUUGGAUUAGAAAAUUAGGAUAGAUAUCAUCACAUUUAUUCACGUUAAAGCUACAUUGUAAAAUGUUCACACUGGAUGAAAAUCAUUCAUUAAAAUAUUUUUAUGUUUAGAAUAAAUAAAUAAAUAACUUUUAAAAUAAUUUAAGUAAUUUUUUCAUAAUGUUUAAGAAAGUUAGAAGUUCCAGGUAUAAUAAAAUGCAACUUUGAUGCUUCUUUUCAUGAGAAUGGUAUUGCUGGCUUAGGGAUGAUAGCACGGGAUAGUCAAGGUAAAGUUAUGGUCGCGGCGUGCUCCUUUCCUCAUCCUAUUAUCUCCCCUCUCUUGGCGGAGGCAAUGAGCAUGAGAUGGACUUUGCAUUUGGCCAAGGAUUUAGGCUUCCGUCUGAUUUGCUUGGAAACAGAUUGCUUGCAACUCUUCAAAGCUUGGAAGGCAAAGGAGGAUGGGAGAUCUUAUUUGAGCUCUAUUAUUAAGGAUUGUUGUUUAAUAGUUUUUGCUUUUGAUUAUGUGACUCUUUCUUUUGUUAGGCGCACAAGUAAUACUCUUGCGGACUUUUUUACAAGGAACGCCAAAACCUACGCCAAUUCGAUAUGGGUUGAGGAGGUUCCUGAUGCCGCUAUUCCUUUGGUUAUUUCUGAUGUAAUGACUUUAUUUCUGGUUGGCAUUUAAUAGAUUUGUGGUUUACUUUCAAAAAAAGAAAAUUAGAAGUAAGUAUAUAUAUAUAAAAAUUGAUUAUGAAAAUUAUGAGAAUUAAAAAAUAUUCGUGUAAAAAUAUAAUUUCCAUUUAUUUAUAUUUAAAUUGCAGGAAAAGAAAUGGGGGAGGGACAUCUCACAUGAAAUUUCUCUUUAUCUUUCAAAAAAAAGAAAUGGGGAGGAACAUCUCACAUGAAAUAGUUUCAUAUUAAAACUAAUAGAAAAAUAAAUUUUAACAUAACUAAACACCAUUUGCAUAACUUUUAAAAUAAUUUUAGACAUAUAAUAUGAAAGUUUAAAAGUAAAAAUAUCUCUAUGAGAAUUAGAAUACAUAUAUAUACUAAAUAUGACAUAUGAGAAUUAUAAUACAUUAUUAUAUGUAGUUAUAAUCAUUUAUGUUAAAAUUACAUGGUAUAAAGCUCCUACAGAAGAAAAUAUUUUUACAAUAUAAAAUUUAAAGAUUAAAAAAUAAUUUAAAAAUAAUUACUUAUAUAAUUUCAAUAUUUUUUUCAUAUAUUUUCAGAAUAAUUUUAGAAUUAUAUAUAUAUAUAUAUAUGUGUGUGUGGGUGGGUGGGUAUAAAAGUAUAUAUUGCAGUUGAGGAUUAAUAUGUGACGAGAAGAUUAGAAAACAUUAAUACAUAUGUAGUAUAUAUUUAUUUAUCUUUAAAUUAGAGGAUUGAAACCUCUCACGAAGAGAAACAUUUUUUUUUUUGUACACUGAAAAGAUAAAUUACAUUUUCCAGGAUUUGAUCCCUCGACCUUCUUACCCAACUCAUAUAUCUCUUAGCUCUUAUCACUUGAGCUAUCAUUCGGGGACAUGGAAGGAGUAUUUAACAUGGAAAUACUUGCAUGUUAAAAAUGAAUUUUUAAAUAAUUAAAAAAUAUGAGUAUGUAGUAUGUUUAAAUUAUAGGGUAAAAAUGAGAGAGGAAAAAAAUAAAAAAAAAAUUAUAGGGUAAAAAUCUCCCAUGGGGAGGAACAUUUCACAUAAAAUAAUUUUGGCUUAAAAUAAUAUUUUACUUUAGAAAAAUAAAUUAUUCAAUUUUAUACCAAAAUAAAAAACCAAGAACUUAUAUUGAAACUUAAAAUCUUUUAAAACAGUAGAGAACUUCUAGGAAAUUAAAAUGAAUUAUUUUAGAUCAAAUAAAAAAGAAACAACUUAUCUUAAAACUUAGAAAGUAUUUUCAAACAAUAGUAUAGUUCUAGGAAUUUAAAACGAAUUAAAUUUAAAUUAUGUGAUACAUUAAUUUAGGGUUCAAAUAAAAAAAAAUUAUAGCUACCUUUGAAUUUUAAAUAAUUUAGCGUGACAUGAGAAUUUUUGAAUGAUUCAUUAUUUUCUUUAAAAAAAAAAUUCAUUAUUUCAAAUGAAUAUCCAUUAUAAUUCUUCUUGCUUAGUUAUUCAAUAUUUGUUUUGAAAGUAAAACAUAUUGAUAGAUAGUGUUGAGAAAUAUCUCCUCUUAACAUGGGUAAAGUAACCUAAACAACAAAGCAAGCCGGCAAAAAAUCCCAACCAGACAUGAAAAACCCAAAAACAUCUCGACUACAAACCCACAAGCAUUACCACAUGCUUUAACACCUAACAUUAUAGACAGAAACAACCCCUAAGGGUGACAAAUCGAUCAAAUUAGGAAUCAUCAUUCAUCUUCAAAGACACGAACCACGGUGAUUGGAGUAGCUAAAAAUCCAAGAGAAGAAAUAUCAACCAAAGAGUAGCUUCAAAAAGCGUAGAAGCAAAAAAGGUAGAGAAGAGUGGCAACGAAUCAAAACAAGCAAGAAGCACACCGAUCAAGAGAGAACACCGAACAGAGAUAAAGACUCAAUUAUUUAUUCAAUCUAUAAAACACAUAUUCUAUUGUUUACACAAGAACUUAAUAUGACACCGCCGACAAAUUAACCUUAAAACGCUGUGCUUUGAAACAUCAACUACGCCUAACAAAAAAAAAUUAUAUUUUAAGAUUUAAACUACCAUAUUAAGAUUAUUCAUUGCAACCAAAACGAAAUAAAGACAAAUGUGCCAUAAUACAUAAAAUUUCCACUACGUUAACAAAAUAAAAUUAACAAUUUUUUAUAAAAAUUUGAAACUUACAUAUAAUUUUUAAUUCCCCGUGCAAGGCACGGGUCAUAUACUAGUAGUUAUACAUUAGAAACAAAUCCCCAUCCCUAAAAAAUAGCCUCCUAGAAAGCAUCCCCCGUUAUUACCCAUAAAUGCAUUUAAAAUUCUAAUUCUAAUGUAUUUAAAAUUCUUACCAAUUUAAAUUUGAUAUGAAUUGUUUGUCAAUGAAGGCAUGACCAAAAUUAAAUUAGGAAAAAUAGAAAAUAUUAUUUAUUUAAAUUCUUAAUUAUUUCAUUUAUUAGUGCAUUUAUAUGUUCUCUUAUUAAGAAUUAUUUUCUUACAUGUUGCGAAAUAAAUAGUAUAAAAUGAAAUAAUGUUCAUCACUAGUUUCACAAAACAAAAUAGAGUUCAACCUUGAAAUUCUCACAAAAUGUCUUUUCAAACUCGUCAACAUUUUCUCCUCGGGAUUUUAUUCAUUGUUUUAGUUCUAUCUCCAGGUAAGAAGAAUAAAGUAUUUUUCAUAUCGUAAGUUCUAUUUAAAAUAUAUAAUCAAGAAGUGAAUUGAAGAAUGAAAUUUAUAAUCUUACUUCAAAGUUAAUCCAUGAGUUUUAUGUAAGUGAUAUUUGAAACAAUUUUUAAGAAUUCGCAAUACUAUAUUUUUAUUUUUUCAUAGUAUCUUGAUAGUUACUCCCUCCGUUCUUUUUUAAGUGUCGUUUUAGCAUAAAGCUCUCCAACCAAGAUAGUGGAUUGUUAGUUUUUUUUUUCACUCUCUCAUAUCAUUAAACCAUCUACCACUCUCACCCAAUCAUAAAGUCAUAAAGGACUUCAUAGUUAUUAAGAAAGAAGAAUUUUAUGAAAAAUGUAAAGUAGAGUUAUUGAAAAAGUAAGGGUAUAAUUGACAAAAUAGAACCUAAAACAUCAAAACGACAGUUAAAUAAGAACAAAAAAAUUAUUCUAAAACGACACUUAAAAAGGAACGGAGGGAGUACUAUGGAAAUUCACCAUAUUAUAACUAACUUUAAAUUUAACGUAUAAAAUUAGGAAAUCAUGUGCAGAUUAUUGUGAUAUUUGUUUUUUGUUGUAGGUCCCGUAACAAAAGCAGAACAGAAAACUUGCUUGGACGCUUGCACAUACCCCGCAGAAUGCAACAAAAAUUGUAUUUCUAAAGGAUAUAUUCACGGCGAUUGUGUUUUUUCUGUACCAUCGCUACCACCGCCAUGUUGUUGUGUUAAAUGAUAAUUCAAAGUGUUGAUAGAAAUGAUUAAUAAAAUUAUAUGAAUAAAGUUUUGGUUAUAAUCGAGUUUAUAAGAUUUUUAAUUUUUUUAUUUAAGGGUUAAUUGUCAAAUAUUGUUAUCUAUUUAUAAGUUGGUUUAAUUUUCGUUCAUUGUCGAAAAACUAUUUAAUUAUUAUCGAGUUUAAGGAAAUGUUGGAAAAUUAGAACUCACUUGAGGAUGGAGCUCUGGAAAUGUUACCUGAUGGUAGACCAAGGAUGACGUGGCACACCACAAUGUUGCCUGAUUAGGGAGCAAAGUUAAUUAAUAAUUAAACCCUUUUGCCCAUGAUAAAACUUUGAUUGAAUAAUUAGACAAUAUGAUGAUAAAGUUAUAUACGAUGUACGCAUUAACUAAGGGGAUUCUAUCAUACAUCCUUAAAAUGGAUAAAGAUAUUCUAAUAUUCUAUCACCAUUUGGUGUCCCUCUUCAGUCCCCCAGAACACAAAUUUCUAAUCUCUAAUCUUCAUCCUUUAAUCCCUCAUCUGAAAUCUCUUUCUCAUUCUUUCUGUAACGAAGAAAACAUGCAGAUAUCAAAACCUAAUUAGCUCUGUCACCUAAAGAACCUCACCCAAGCUUGAUUAUAAUAACUUUUCAAUAAUUCAUAAAUUUGAAACUUAUAAAAGUGGGGAAAGUAGAUAGUGUUUCCUUGUUCCUAUUGGUUGUUGGUUCAACUUCAACUUCAAAUCUCAAUCUAAUUUAAACAGUGCAAAUUUCAAAUCGGAAGCUAGCCUACAUCUGGAUACCCAAUUCUCGAUCCCAAUUUCAAAAUUAGGGUUUUCUUGAGUUGAUUUUUUAUUAUAAAUUAAAAUUGAUGGUUUGAUGUUGGGGGAAUUUGUGGACGGGUACAACGUUUGUGUUGAUGUCUUUGCAAUGCCACAGAGUGCACCGGUGUUGAAGCAGUCAAUCAUGUCUUCCAAACUAUUAUGCUUGACAUGCUCAAACAAAAGGUAUUUCACAUGAGGAAUUAAACGGUAAAGAUUAGAGAUUAGAAAAAUUUCAUAAUUUAUUUUUAAAUUAAAAAAUAGUUAUUUUCUGGGUAAGAUGAUGGAGAUGAUAAUGAAGAUGUUUGAAGGCAUGAAUAUGGUGAACGAUUCUGAGUUUUUGGUUUUUUUUUAUAAAUUUUUUAAUUGUUCUUUUUAAUUUUAUUAAGGUCCCUGACCUUUUAACUAUUUUGUCCAAAAAUCCCUCUGCAUUUCUCAGUAAAACACAAAAAUUAUAACUUAAAUUGCCACGUGUCAAUAUUCUUUUGGGUCUCCUACUCCAGGCAUCACACCCAAAAAUGGCUUAAUAGAACAUUUGGUCCCCACGAAUGCGAUAUGUGCAAACAUGGUCCCUAAACUUUAAAAAUAGCAUUCUUAGUCCCCGACGUUAAUCUACGUUAACAUUUUUGGUCCCUUUUCCCUUUUCCGCUAAAAGACUAACGUUUUCUGGAAAACUCAGUCACCACCUUCUUCUUCAUUCUCUCCAUUCUUCAACCACACAAACCAAAUCAGAUCCGUCCUCACUCAGCCACCACCACGACCAGAGGAACAUAUCUUUUGGGUUACGCCUACGAAACAGAGGAAAAUAGUAGAAGCUUGCGAAAUAGAGGAAGCCAUGAAGCCAGUGAAUCAGAGAAAGCCAACACAGAUCUUUUGUGGUAAGCAUAGACAUGGGAGGUAUCGAUACAUCUUCAUCAUCAUUUGCAAUUUCUAUUUCACUCCUCACUUCCUCACAAUUUCUCUGGUUCUUCAAAUCAGGAAAUUUCAACCUUUGAAGCUCUAUCCUCAUCUUCCCCAAGAAUACCCUAGCUUUAUCUUUCGAUCUACUUUGUUCUCGGUGAAAGGUGUGAGGAGGGAGUAGGGUGAAAGUGAUAUGCUUUAAUUGGUGAAAGGGGUGAAAGAAAUGAAGAGGGAAGGUGGGGGUGAAAAGGAUUGUUUUGGCGUGAGUUCAUGCUAGAAAAAUUAUUUGUAUAAAAAAAGCGGUUGUAUCAAAAUAAAGUGAUUCGUACUUUUUUAUGUAUUGAUUUCGGUUUAGAUAUGCCUUAUUCUGGUUAUUACACAUAUUUAAUGCAAAGAUUUGUAAUAAGGCUUAAUUGCACUUUUGGUCCCCCAAAUUUGGUCUUCCUGCGAAAAUCGUCCCCAAACUUCAAAAUUAGCAAAGAACGACCCUGAAGUUUACACCCGGAUGCAAAAUUAGUCUUCCGUUAAAUUCCGUCUAAAAUCCUACAGAAUAUUCCGUCUAAUUUUAAAGUUUGGGACGAUUUUGCAGGAAGGCCAAAGUUGGGGACCAAAAGUGCAAUUAAGCCUUUUUUAAUUCAUUUUUUAACAGAAUAUUCUGUUAGAUUUUAGACGGAAUUUAACGGAAGAACAAUUUUGCAACCGGGUGUAAACUUCAGGGUCGUUUUUUGCUAAUUUUGAAGUUUGGGAACGAUUUUCGCAAGAAGACCAAAGUUGGAGGACCAAAUGUACAAUUAGUUCUUGCAAUAAUUAUUGUAAUUAAAUGAUUAUAAUUAAUGCAGUAAAUGUAAUUUGUAUCAUGAUUUUUAACAAAUCAGUUAACGAUAUUAAUGCAUAUCAUUUUCGGUUAUAUUUUUAAAAGUUAUAUAUAUGAUAAUUGUUUUUCCUUUGACCGCAUUAUAAUUACUUUAAUGCAUUAAUUACAUUCAUAUUUAAAAUUAUUUGAAAACAGUUCUCUUUUUUAAAAAAGGAAAUUAAAUACAACAGUUACUAAUCCAUAAAUCAAAAUUUUCACCGGUCAUAACAUUGUUUUGAAUUAGGAAUGGAAUAUAGGAUUUAAUGCUUAAUUACAUUUAUGUUUAAACUUAUUUGAAAACGGUUUUCUUUUUUAAAAAUGGAAAUUAAAUACGACAACUACUGAUACAUAAAUCAAAAUUUUCUCCAUAGAAAAAUUUCUUUAAAUGCAUUGACCACCAUCAUGGAUAAUUCGAAUAUGUUGUACUAAAGCCUAUAUCAUUUAGGUAAGGAAUAUAGCAUUUAAUGCAUUAUUUACAUUCAAUAAGAACAUAAGAUUAAAUAUUUUCAUAAACAACCUUAAUAUCAAUAAUCUUAUUUUCUAUUAUUUCAAAACUAAAACAAACUAUGUGAGGUGCUUGAAUUUUCAUGUCGGUGCCGAAUUUUCGCCACCUAGAUCCUACACGCGCCUCAGAUGAUUUUGAAGACAAUACAAUACAUCAACUGUCAAUUGAUAUGAAAAGUUCCAUUAAAAAAACACCUUUAGUUGUCAAUUCAUCAACUGCAAUUGAAAAAGGCAAAACCUGAGUAUUAGUUAACGGAAAAAAUUUAGAUGUAACAGGUCAAUUGAAUAGAAAGUGGGAAAAAAUCCUUUUGAUAUGAGAAAGUUGAUUGAUAAAAAUUUGUAGAAUAAGGAUGGUAAAAGAUCGAUUGAUAUGAAAAGGUCGAUGAAAAAAAUAUUUUUUGUUGGUAAUCAUCAACUACAGUUGAAAAAACCAAGAACUCAGUACUAGUUAACGGAAAAAAUUCAGAUCUAACAUGUCAAUUGAAUGGAAAGUGAGAAAAAACAUAUUAAAUUCAGAUCUAACAGGUCAAUUGAAUAGAAAGUCGGAAAAAAUACAUUUUGAAAUGAGAAGGUUGAAACUAAAAACUUUCAAAAUAAGGAUGGUAAAAGAUCGAUUGAUAUGAAAAGGUCGAUAGAAAAUUACCUUUUGUAGGUAAUCAUCAACUGCAAUUGAAAAAGCCAAGAACUCAAAAUUUGUUAGCGGAAAAAAUUCAGAUCUAACAUGUCAAUUGAAUAGAAAGUCGGAAAAAAUACCCUUUGAUAUGAGAAGGUUGAUUGAUAUAAGAAGGUUGAUUCAAAUGGUUAGAAUUCUUGGUUAGAAUUCAAAUGGGAAAAAAACAUUUUGAAUAUAUGAGAAGAUUGAUUGAUAUAUGAAGGUUGAUAAAAAGGAACAUAAUCAUUUAUAGUAAAUGAUUUUGUAAAUUUAAUUAAUGGGGGGCAACAAAACCAAAUUAUAGGACAAAUCAUUGCUAUUAAUAAAUUUCUUUAAAUUGCUGUGGGUGUGACACUUGUCAGCUAAUGAGGAGGGUGGGAGGAGAAUGAACCUUAGAAUGUCAUGUGUCUAAUACUUUAUAAUAAUGUUGUUCUUUUAUAAAGUAUAUAGAUAUAGAUUUUCAAAGUGAUUUUAAAUCCAAAAUCAAUUUUGAAGAUGCUAGAGAGAUGAUAGUUUUUGCAUUGAACAUGAUCAAUUGUAAUAUUACACAACACUCACUUUUUCAUGAAAAAAACAUAAAACACUCACUCUAAACACGCUCAGAAGAAGCUUCUCCCAAAAAAUUGAUUUUUAUUUUAAAAUUAGUAUAAAGAUUUCCAAUCACACAGUGAACUUAUCUUACACUGUUACCAUAUACAAUAAAAGCAUUAAAUAGGGGGAGCUUUAUCCCUGAGAAAUCUAACAUUGUAUAUAUCUUCAUCCAACGGUGAUUCAGCACCGAGGAAUGCAAAAGUUGGUGAACUUGAUUUAGCUCCACCCCAAUACUUGAAAUUCAUCACAUACCAUUGUUGGAAAGUGGUGUAGCUGUCAGACCCGUAAUUGAAAUGAUCAAGUCUUUGGGUGUAAUAGAAUGUUUGGAGCUCUUAAGGCAAUUGAUCAGAGGAAGACAUGGUUUGUGGUUUGCGUUCUUUGAUUCUUCGCAGAGUUCUAAGUUAUUUAUGUUUUAAUCUUUUCUAUCUAGAUAUCAUUAUCUUGUGUUUUCGAAAACAAUAUUAUUUAACAAUGUAGUAUAUUAUAGUAUUUUAUAUUAUAUUAUGUUUUAAUAUGUUAUGAUAUAAUAUAUUAUAUAGUAUUCUAACUUAUUAUACAAUAUACUAUAUUAUAACAUAUCAUAGUAUAUUAUAAUAUACUAUAUUAUAACAUAUCAUAGUAUAUUAUAAUAUAAUAUAUUAUAACAUAUUAUAGUAUAUUAUAAUAUAAUAUAAUAUUUUAUAACAUAAUAUAAUAUCUAAUAAUAUAUUAUACUAUUUAAUAAUAUAUUAUAUUAUAUAAUAGCGUUAUUAUGUAUUAUAAAUUAAAAUUGUUAAUUAUUUCAUUUAUUAGUGAUAUUUUCGCUUAUUUAGAACUACUUUCUUAUAUUUUUUGAAAUGAAUACUAUAUAAUGAGAUAAUGUUCCCCUUUGGUUUCACAAAAUAAAAUAUAGUUUAAAAGUGAAAUCUCACAAAAUGUCUUUUCAAGCCCAUCAACAAUUUAUCCUCGGAAUUUUAUUCAUUGUUUUAGUUCUAUCUUCAUGUAAGAAGAAUAAAGUGCUUUUCAUAUCAUACGUUCUAUUUUAAAUAUAUCAUCAACAUGUAAAUUGAAGAAUGAAAUUUAUAAUUCUACUUUAUAGUUAAUCCAUGAGUUUUAUGUAAGUGAGAUUUGUGUCAACUAUUAAGAAUUCACAAUACUAUAUUUUUUAUUUUUUCAUAGUAUCUUGGUAGUUUUUAGUUCUAUCUUCAUGUAAGAAGAAUAAAGUGCUUUUCAUAUCAUACGUUCUAUUUUAAAUAUAUCAUCAACAUGUAAAUUGAAGAAUGAAAUUUAUAAUUCUACUUUAUAGUUAAUCCAUGAGUUUUAUGUAAGUGAGAUUUGUGUCAACUAUUAAGAAUUCACAAUACUAUAUUUUUUAUUUUUUCAUAGUAUCUUGGUAGUUACUAUGGAAAUUCACCAUAUUAUAAUUAACUUUAAAUUUUACGUACAUAAUUAUUAAAUCAUGAGCAUAUAAUUGUAAAAUAUUUUUUGUUGUAGGUCCUGUAACAGAAGCAGAAGAGGGUGUUUGCAUAGGCCUUUGCUAUUUCCCCGCGGACUGCCAAAUAUCCUGUAUUUCUAAAGGAUUUACUCAAAGCGUUUGUGGUGGUCAAACUAUACAUAUAAUACCAAACUUACCACCUCCAUGUUGUUGUUUUAAAUGAUAACUCAAAGUAGUUGUUAGAGCUGAUUAAUGAAAAUAUUUGAAUAAAGUUUUGGUUAUGAUCGAAUUGAUAAGGUUUUUUUGUUAUUGUUUGUUAUUGGUUAAAUGUCAAAUUGGUAUGCUUUUGUAAGUUGGUUUAAUUUUUGUUUGUUAUCGAAAAAAGUUUAUUUAUUGUUCCUAUGUUUAAGCAAGUGUUGGAAUUAGUCUUCAAUUGAGGAUGGAGCUUUGACAAUGUUUGCAUGAUGGUAAAUCGUAGAUAACAUGGCACGCCACAUGUUAUUUUUUAAUGAAUUUUUAUUUUACCCGUGUAUAAUUGUUAAUUAAAUUAAAAUGACUAGUGAAAAAUAAAAUUAUAAAAAAACAUUUAAUAAGCUAAACUCAUGAGUGUUCUUCAUCUUUGUGAAUGUAGUUCACCUUCAUGAGUGUUCUUCAUAUCUUUCUAAAUCAAACCAAGCACCCUAACCCAAAAACUCAACACCCAAGAUGUAACAUUUUUUUCUCAUAAACUCAUAAUAUUGACCUAUACCCUUCUGAUUUUGAAACUAAAACAAAGCAGAGCUAAAAGAAAUCAUAUCCACAUCUUUCCAAUGAUAAAUCAGAAAACGGAAAACCCAUGGCAAUGCAUCUUAUUAUUUUAUGAUCAAUUGACUGUGAUCUACUUCAUUUUCAGAGAGAGAGAGAGAGAGAGAGAGAGAGAGAGAGAGAGAGAGAGAGAGAGAGAGAGAGAGAGAGAGAGAGAGAGAGAGAGAGAGAGAGAGAGAGAGAGAGAGAGAGAGAGAGAGAGAGAGAGAGAGAGAGAGAGAGGACGACCAAGGUUUUGUGAGGUUGGUUGCGAUGAAGGUUGGGUUAAUGGAGGUGGAUGAACUCCAAAUUACAACAGUUCUGUCACGGGUUAAGGGUUACACCAAAAUUCAUGUUGGUUUAGACAAGGAGAAUAAUAUUUUAGAUCAUCUCGUGAUAAAGGAGGAGAUGUGUAAGGCUCUUUAGAUCCAUGGAAUCAGUCACAAUUCCUAGUUUAGAUGGCUUCCAACCUUUCUUUUCCAAGGAAUAUUGGGAUCUAGUUGGAUAGGGUCUUCGAAAAGUUUGUGCGACGCGUUUUCUUUGGGGAUAUUGGAUAUAAGCUAGUGGGAAACCUUCAUGUUCCUAUUCCAAAGGUGCACAAUCCCUCCUCUAUUAAUGAAUAUCGACCGAUAAACUUGUCAAGUUAACUCAUUAUUCCCCACAUUAAAAGAUACUAAUUAAUAAAAACUCAUAAUAGUUAGAGGGUUGUUCUCAUGAAACUUUUCUUAUUAAUAAUAUUCCUUUUGUUGUAAAAAAAAACUCAUAAUAGUUAGAGGAAAUUAUAAUAAGAAAUCAUAAUAGUCAAUCCUUCAGACUUCGAGUUCAAUGGUUCCAUCCGCCAACUUGUCCGCUCGAUGGUUCCGUCAACCAUCUGAAUUGUCUGGUGGUUCUGUCCACCACUGUGGUUAAUCGAUGGUUCCCUCCACCUCCAUCCACCAAUCUUGUUUUUCUGAUGGUUCCAUUCACCAUCUUUAUCUAACUGAUGGUUCCAAGAUUGAUCUUAUUGCUAUACCUCUCUUCUUGCCGGCUAAGCUUAGUAAGAAUUCUAUUAAAAACCAAUUUUCAAGAAGACAUGAGCUCUAGGGGUAAAAUUUUCUAAAAUAUUAUAUAUAAUUGAUAAUUAUAUGCUUUUCGUGGUAGUGUUUGUUAAAAUAUUAUACAAGAAAUAGAAAAACUACACUCUGCUCCAGUUCAGAAAAUUUUAGGAGUUUAAUCUCACAUUUAUAAAGGCUUAAUUACAUUCUUAUCCUCUCUACAAUAGGUGAUGUGUGAUUUUGGACCUAUUAGAUUUUUGGCUUAAUUUUUGAAGUCUCUGACUUUGUAAGACUUCUAACUUUUGGUUUAAUGUGUCUUUAUUUAUGUUGAAUUUGAGAAAUGACCGAAUUUUUUUAAUAGAUAAAAUUGACAUAUUCGUCAGUAAAUUACACAAGUCUAAUGUAACAAAAAAAGUUAAUAUAAGUUUCGGUUUCUAUAUGACAUUGAAUAAUCUUGUUUCAAAAGAAAAAAGAAGAAUAAUGAUCCUCAUUAGUUAUUUCAGAUAAAUCGAUAACCAGUAAUUUUCCAAAAACAAAAACAUAAUCAUGUAUUUAGUCCAUCAAGAAUAGGGUUCUUCUAUCAUGAUAAGAAACACCCAUUUCUCACGUGCGUUAAGAAAAGAGAUAAAAUGGCUUCUCUCACAUCACCAUCUCUUGUUUUUAGGGCCGUCUCAACCAAUAUUGAGGCCUAAAAUGAACUCUAAGAAUGAGGCAUUUAUAAAAUUAUUCUUUAUAUAAAUAAUUUAAAUGAAAUUUUUUUUUCGGGCUUUUUGAGAUGCAAAAUCGUUAAUGAAAUUAUCAUAAUUGAUUUCUUUUAUAAAAAAAUUCAAUAGAUAAUAAAACCAACCCAUUUAAUCUUUGUUGAGACAUUUUUUAUCUUAGAUAUGAUUUUAUUAAUUUUAAUUUUGAAAAAUUAUGUUCCGCAGAAGAAACACUUACAAGAAUUGUUAACAUUAUUCUAUAAGCAAUAUAUGCAUUUGAGAAAGAAUCAAUUCUUUUUACAUAAUUAAGUAGUCAAUUAGUGUAUCAUUUCUACAUGUAUAAUUUCUUUUAAGAUGUUUAAUUCUGUAAAUAAAUCCAAUCCAUCAAUAUUUGAGUUUUCAUUAUGUUUUAAUGAAAGAUCAAGAUUAAGACAAUAUUCUUUUAACUUUUAAUUAUCAAAUGACCUUAUUUUCGAGUUCAUAAAAAAAAAGACCUUAUUUUCUCAAUGUUGAAAAGAAAUCCAAAAAUAUCAUUAUACAAGAGGUAGAGGAAGAAUUGGAGAGAGUAGAAGAAGAAGAAUUCAAAGAGAUCAAAUGAAAAGUCACACUCCUCCUUUGCUUUUUAUCAAUUCAAAAUAUACAAUAAAUUGAAUUUCAUUAAAAAUAAAUGUUGCACUUAAUAGAUCCAUUCUUUUAGGCACUCAAUAUGCUAUUUAAUUGGUCUAUUCUUGGAUAAUUUCCUUUGAAAUAUAUACUAGUUUUUUAAUAAAAAAAUUGAGGCCUAAAAAAUAUUGGGGCCUAAAGCAAGGGCUUUACUGGCCUAAGGGUUGAGACGACCCUGCUUGUUUUCUAUCUACAAUGUAAUUAAAUGGCAAAGUUAGCAGAAAUGUUAUGUUACAACAAGAGAAAAGUUAUUUUGUGAACUAGCGACAAAAAUUACGUCACUAGUUUGAUUUGGAGAGGGUGUCUAAAUGACGUUGCUAAAGACACAAAAACCUCUCAUUCACCAGAAGUUGUAAGCCUAACUAUUAGAAUUAGAGAGACCUAACUCAACCAAAACGAGCCUUGUAUCUCUCAAUAGAGCCAUCUUGCUCAUGCUUGAUCUUAUAAACCCAUUUGCAGCCAAUGGGGAUCUACCUCAUUUGUUUUGCAUAAUGUGUUGUUCUUGUUUAGUUUCUAAUUCAAUUCAGUUUUUCAGUUUCAAUUGCUCUCUUCUUCUUCUACCUUCCGCAUCAAUAUUUGUUAUGGUAUCAGAGCUUUCUUAGAGAGCUCUGCUGCGCACUCCCGUGGCGGUUCCAACCCCAACCCCUUACCCUUUCACCAUGCAAGAUGAACAGGUAGCAUCACAUGCUCUCUACAUUCACCCCAACGAAAGCCCUUCAACUGUUCUCAUUUCUCCACCAUUAUCAGAGGGGAACUAUCACAACUGGGCUCGUGCAAUGAAGAUGAGUUUGAUGACCAAGAACAAGCUAGGGUUCGUCGAUGGCUCAAUCGGAGAACCACCGCAAGAUCACCCUGUUCUUCCCUUCUGGCAGCGAUGCAAUAUAAUGGUGUUAUUGUCCCUGCCACUGUCAAAGGAACCAUCAAAAUCACACCCUCAUUUGUUUUGCAUAAUGUGCUGUUCUUGCCUAGUUUCUAAUUCAAUUCAGUUUUCAGUUUCAAUAUGCUGGGCAUAAAAAAAAAAGGGCAUUUUGGAUUGAAACAAAAGAGAUCUAGCAGUGUUCACAAUAUGCUGGUGUUUACAACACCAUUAUGUUGUGGUGUUUCAGGACAGGACAGCAGCUGAUGAAUGAUACCCUUAGAAGCAUAAAAUGAAGGCAUGGAAAACUCAAGCCCAUUGUCAGAUCAUACCACUUUAAGGACCUUAUGAUAGUGUUUGAGCAAGUGAAAUGAAGGCCAUAAGAUGGUUUUUGCUUCUGAAUUAGUUUUCAUUAAUUUGAUCCAAGUAAAACGAGACAUAUAUCAUCUACUAUAGUAAGAAUACCUAAAGCCUUGCAAGGAAUGGGGUAGAAUAUGGCCCCGAUAUGUCAACGUGAACUAGUUCAAAGGGAGAUGCAGAAAUUGUUUUACCAGAAGUAAAUGACAACCAUGUUUAGAGCAUAUCUCUAAUGCUAGUUCUUAACACUAUUUAUGUAGGCAUGUACGACCACAUAUGCUUUAAGCAACUCUCAAGCAACUUUUACAUAUUUCGAUCCAAUCACAAGUGAACUCUGAGUUUUUAGCACUAUUUAUCUGGUCCCACCACACCACAUUAUUUAUACAUUUUAUUUUCAUAAAGUAAAAAAACAAAACUCAUAUAGUAAUAAAACAAUUUGAAUGAGAGAAAAAAAUAUUUCUUAAUGAUAAUAACUCAUAAAGCAAAGUUGCUUAUAAGAACUGUUUUUUUAUAAGAUUUAAGAAUUCCACGUCAGUCAUCUCCAAUGCUUAGAAAUCUAGUUCUUAGUUUAAGAACUAACCUCUAAGAACUAGCAUUAGAGAUGCUCUUAGAGAGAUGACCUACAUCACAAGCAUUUGUUUGGGUGAGAGGUAAAAAUGGAAAAAAAGUUCUUAGUUCUUACCCUCUAAAAACAAUGAGAUGAAAGAUUGCCUAACCUAUAAUACCACAAGUCAAUUGAUGAGGGUACAUUGGAAGUAAAAACAGAACUAUUUACCGACUUUAUGCUUGGAAGUGGUUGGAUAGUGUGCAAGGGUUGUAACUUGUAACACCAUGAAAUAGCCCAUUUUGCACCAUAGUUUUGAAAAUCAUCUUCUUGGAGGAAAGAUCAUGUAUAAUACAAAAAUCUGUAUGCGAACUUACUUGACAAUUAAGAGAUAAUUUUGGUGACAAAGAUUAAGUAGAAUUAUUUUCAAAAAAACAAAGAUUAGUAGAAUUAAAAAAAGGCAAAUUGAUCAGUUAGGUAAAUUGAUCCAGAAUAAAUGGCGCCACCGCCUAGCAUCCCUUCCCUUUUUGCUUGACCAGCCGCCGCCUCCUCUUCUCUUNCUUCUGUUUGUUACUCCUCAACCCGCGAGCAUCCAGCCGUCACGCUCGCCACCACUUGACCGCCCAGCCGCACUCUUACGUGCCGUGCUCGCCGUCAACGCCGCCGUGACCAGCAUCACCUUGCACAAUCAAAACAGUACCUUAUCUCUUUGUUACGUGACUCUUGCAUCAUGUCUUCCCAAGGCACCCCUCCCGGAUCUCCUACUCCUAAGGUGGAUAACCCGCCGCCCGAAUCCUCUUCAGCGAGACCAGAUUUUCAUCCCGCCCUCGCUGUUACCAACAUCAAAAGUAGAAUUCCCUUUAAGCUGGAGAUGGAGAAGGACAACUACACUAUGUGGGCUGAACUUUUUGAGGUUCAUGCUCGUGCCACCGGGGUUUUUCACCACAUCAUUCCUCAAUGUGGAAAAGAGCGCCCUGCUCCAACCGAUCCUGAUCAUGAGAUGUGGACAAUUCUUGAUUCGACUGUUCUUCUGUGGAUCUAUUCCACUAUCUCUUUUGACAUUCUCCAAACUAUUAUGGAGAAAGGGUCUACCGCUAUGGCCGCUUGGAAUCGUAUUGCUGACAUUUUUUAGGAUAAUCAGAACUCCUGUGGUGUAGCUCUUGAGCAUAACUUCUCAUCCACUCGCAUUGAGAAUUUUCCUAAGGCAUCUGCCUAUUCUACUAUCUCUUUUGACAUUCUCCAAACUAUUGUGGAGAAAGAGUCUACUACUAUGGCGGCUUGGAACCGUAUUGCUGACAAUUUUGAGGAUAAUCAGAAAUCACGUGUUGUUGCUCUGGAGCAGAACUUUUCAUCCACUCGCAUGGAGAAUUUUCCUAAUGCAUCUGCCUAUUGCCAACGUCUCAAACAACUUUCUGAUCAGUUGAAGAAUGUUGGUGCUCCGGUCAGCAAUCAUUGCUUGGUCCUUCAACUUGUAUCUGGUCUAUCAGAGCCUUAUCGAGGUGUUGCUACUUUGAUUCGUCAUAGCAACCCUUUGCCUUCCUUCUCCCAGGCUCGCUCCAUGCUCACCUUGGAGGAAUCCGGCUUGGCAAAAACGCAUAGCACUGCCUCUCACGCUGCUUUGCACACUGCUUCUUCGUGGGAACCCGAUGACUCCUCUCAGCAGCGCUCCAUCCGUUGCUCCAACAACAAUUCUGGAUCUGGCCGCAAUCUCAUCAACCAGGCACGAGUUGGAGGGCGUGGACAGCGUAGUGGCUCUCGCUCAAAUGGUUCUUCUAGAACCUCAGCACUGGCCUCCCCUCAGCCAUGGCAGCCACCGCCUCAGUAUCUGUCUUGGAAUCCCUGGGGUUGGAUGCCUCCUCCUUGGGGUAUGCCACCUUGUCCUCAUCUCACAUCUCAGUGGACUUGUCCUCUUGGUCCUGCGAGGCAAGCUGGCAUCCUAGGUCAGCGUCCUCAGGCUUACACUGCCACUUCUUCACCAACACCCAUUGAUAUUGCUGCUGCUAUGCAUACUAUGUCUCUUACUCAUCCCGACAGCAUUUGGUACAUGGACACAUGAGCCUUGUCCCACGCAGCGACAUCUCAAUGUAAUCUCUUGUCUUAUUCUAAUUUGAGUCAUUUAAAUCAGAAACUAAUUGUUGGUAGUGGACAAGAUAUUCCAAUUCAGGGUUCAGGCCACUCAACCCUACCCACAUCCCACAAACAUAAAACCUUAAACCUAAACAAUGUUCUGAACACACCGCAAAUAAUUAAGAAUUUAAUUUUUGUGCGACAAAUCACUACUGACAAUAACGUUUUUAUUUCCUUUAAUCCUUUUGGCUUCUCGGUCGCUGACUUCUAGACAGGGAUCCUCUAAUGAGAUGUGACAGUCAUGGAUAUCUGUACCUAGUCACCUCUCCCUAACCUUUUGCGGGCCUCACUUCCGGUCUCUGGGAUAGUCGGCUUGGUCAUCCCAAUAAUUCGGCUUUGCAAGCUCUUAAUAAAAGCAAGUUCAUUACAUGUGAAUAUUAGAAUUCUAGGACUUUUUGUGAUUCUUGUGUUGUUAGCAAACAUGUUCAGUUGCCUUUUGAUUCAUCUAAAAAUGUUAAUUUGAUGCACUUUGAUAUUUUACACAGUGAUCUUUGAACAUCACCUGUUUUGAGUACUUCAGGUCAUCGUUACUAUGUUCUUUUUUUUAUGAUUAUUAUGAUUUUCUAUGGACGUUUCCGUUUAAAUCUCAAGUUUUUGUAAUGUGCACUUCUCUUACAAAUCAAAUAUGAACACAAUUUUCAUAAAAUGUUAAAUGUUUUCAAUGUGAUAAUGAGCGUGAAUAUGAUAAUGCAGCUUUUCAUUGAUUCUGUGAUAAUGGUCUCAUUUUGCAUUUCACUUGCCCACAUACAUCUUCCCAAAAUGGCAAAGUGGAACGCAAAAUCGGCACUAUUAUCAACAUGAUUCGCAUCCUUCUUGCUCAUUCGUCUGUUCCUCCUAUUUUUGGCAUCAUGCGCUUCAAAUGGGUACUUAUCUCCUUAACAUCCUUCAUCGGAAGGCGUUGUCAAAUAAAUCUCCCACGCAGCUUUUGCACAAUCAUUAUCCCAAUUAUGCACAACUUCGUGUGUUUGGUUGUCUUUGUUAUCCUUUGUUUCCUUCCACUACCAUUAACAAACUCCAACCAUGUUCGACUCUGUGUGUCUUCUUAGGGUAUCCCAUGAAUCACAGAGGUUAUAACUGUUUUAAUUAGUCACAUAGAAAAAUAAUAAUAUCGCGACAUGUCAUCUUUGAUAAGAUUCAGUUUCCCUUUGCUCAUCAGCGUGCCUCCCCUACCUCUGACUAUGACUGUUUCGCUGAUACCUUACCCCCAUCCCUUGUCCAUCAGUGGACUACCUCCAGGCCCAUUGUUGCACCUACGCCUCCAACACGCUCACCUAGCUCCCUGACCACCAUCCACGCCUUCAAAUUAUCUUACAGAAAUUAUGUGCUUUGUGGCACUUGAGUCCAAGAUCCACGAUUUUUCAUUACCAGUGAAGGAGGUGAAGAAGAAAUAUUGUGUGUACUGACUAGAUUCAAUGACUCAGAAGUAGGAGUGGGAUUUUCUGAAGGAAGAGCUAUCAAACCUUGAAUUUGUUCUUGAGUGAGGCCAAGCAUGGAUUCACCAGAAGAAGAAUGAGCACCAUAUAUCUCUGUAGCUACAUGAUUAACCACCUUCUUGGACUUGAAUCCAGGUAGGAAUCCAUGUUUGAGAAAACAUGUGUCAAAGAAUGGCUUUUACUUAUACUUUUCUCGACCAAAAGUGCUUGAUUUAACCUGGGUUGCUGAAACUGUAGCUUCAGGAAAGAUUCCAAUCUGCAAUUGGCGCUUUUGUUGUAUAAUCAUGGGAAAAACCUUACUAUAUAAGGUAGAGGAUCCAACAACAAAAUCUAGGAUCGAACGGUUGUUUAAUUGUCAUUCAAUCCUUGCAUAAAAAACACAGAACAUGAUCAUUUUCUCAGUACUUCUUGAUGGUUUUAGCUACUUUGCAACAAUCAGAAGAACAACUAGGAAGAGGAUGAAAAUCAUACAACUCCAACCCAAAUAAUCUUUAAAUUAAUGAAAUAUAUAGUAACAGCCAAGUUAGAUUGCUUCAAAGAAUAGAACUCUUAAUGAAGCUGUGAAAUUCGAACAAAAUCACCUUGAGAGAAAGAGAUCUUGCCAUACAUCUGAAGCAGAAUCGACCCAGACAAUGCUAGUAGCAAUGUCAGGAGAAACUGAAUGGUUGAUCCAAGACAAAACCAGAGUAUUACAACGUUUCCAGAUAAAAUAAAGAGAAUCUUGCACAGCUGAAGAUGGUGUAGAACCAUUUACAAAAUCAAAUUUGUUCUUCAUUUGCAGUAUUGUCGCCGUAGAAGCUGGUGAAGUCGCCAUGAGUGGACUCCCAAGUUAGCACAUGCACGGACAAUGUAAAGAUUUUUAUACUGUCUACUAAUUUGAUUUUGAUUUUCAAGAAGUAGGAAAAGCAUUUUAUUUAAUUUAAUUUAUUGGCAUGACACAUCUUUAAAGUUAUUAAGGCUAAAUUUUAUGAAAGAGUACUUUAAAUUUAAAGUCUGUCAACUCUUAUGAACAAGAUUAUAAUUUCUUUCGAGUUGGACUCAAUCUAGAACAAAAUUAGGGGUAAGAGGUGUUGAACAGUGAAAGCUUUCUGUGUUAACUGCAUUUUCAUAUAUUCAUUAUUUGCUAAGUUAACACAUUCUUUUUACACACUUUCCAACCUUUGUAACUCUGCUUUUUUAACCACGUGUUAGUUUUUAUGCACCUGAAUUAUUCUACUGAAUUCUUUUAAGGAAGUGGUCAAUAUUCUGAUUUUGAUUAACAAGUGUAGCAUUACCUUAAAAUUGAUUUUGAAGUUGAUGGUUUUGAUUUUGGUUCAACUAAGUAUCAUCAACUAGUUAACUUCACUCCCUCUAACUAUUUUGAUUUUUAUUAAUUAGCACCUUUUUAAGACGGAGUUAACUAGUUAAAGUAAGUGAGUUGAAAUAUAGAUUUUGAAUAAGAAUGAGACUGCUAGUUAUUUUCACAAACGGCCUUGAGAGUUGAGUAUAUAUUUCCUUUCUCUUUCUCCCUUCUUCUCCGCAAGCUAAGAACUUCGUCCAACAAACACUGAAGCUGCCUUGUUCUCGCCCUUGAUUUUCCUCCAUCAGUGUGAGCUUCUUCCUCUGAUUAUUCAAAGGUCAAAUUCAGAAAAUGCAUCUCAUUAGCACAUUGUUAUUCUUUUAUCACAAUAAACUUUUAUAGCCGGCACUUUGCCAGAGCUGUUUAGUAGUGACUACACUGGUGAAAUUAUGACAAGUUCUUUUUGGGCUUAAAUCUAUUUGAAGUCCCUAUAUAAUAUGGAUCCUUUGCUUUUGCUCCCUACAUUUCUAACUUUUUAGUUCCUAAUUGCAAAGUAAUAAGGUGAUUUUAGACCAUGUUGUUAACUCUCAUUACAGAAAACGGAGCCCCAUAUAAGCAUUCUACAUGGACAUAUGUGAUGAUGUAGCAGCAGAUUCGGAUGUCUUGGAAAAAUUUCAGCUAAUACAUUGAUGUAGGCAUUCUAUUUUCUUUUGUUAUUGCUUCUAUCUAACAAACAAUGAGAGUAUACUUUAGAAACAUUUAAUCACUAGAAGCAUUUAGAAAACCUUCAUGAGAAGCAAUAGCUGAAAUUUUUAUUGACAUGUGUAACCAUAAAAAAUUUAGCAAUUUCAUCUCAUAGGUUUUUUAAAUGCUUCUAGUGAUUAAUGUUGGUUAGAUGGAAGCUAUAAGAAAAGAAAAUAGAAUGCCUACAUCAAUGUCUUGGAUCUUCAUAGUUUUCAUCAUUCCCUUCAAUCCUUGUUAGCAUACUUCAAAGCUCACAUCUGAAUCAUGAGCCAUUUUGCAUUUUGAAAAUCAGGAUAGACUUAUUCAGGGCCACAAAUCUGGGAGAGAGCAAAAAAAAAAAACCCAAGCUAGCCACCACUAGUUUUCACUUUUCAUUAUUUGAUCGAAUAUAGAGUGAUCAUAAAACCCAACGCCCUAGAAUUUUAGGUUUCCACUAUCCACCUGAAAUUACAAGCUAGCCAACCUACUUUUGAAGCAGACAUGAGGAAAAGGUGAUCAGGGGUCAUAUUAACAGAUUCUUCAUUGGAGAAACUUUAUAAAUGUUAAAAAAAUUGAAGACAAUAUGUGACUCUUAUAUGCUGAGUUCUGCUUUCUUGUUUUCUUGUUCUUCUAAUUUUGUUCUAACGAUUUGCAUAAUAUUAACUUGCCUAAUGGAUAAGUUAUGAAGCUAGCAGUAGAUAUAAAAUUGUCACAAGAUUCAAAUGAUUUAACAACAAUACUCAGAAAAUUUUCAAUGAAAACACAAACCAGCUCAAAGGAUAAUUAAAGGAAUCAAGCAGGGAAUUACCAACCCAGCCUCUUAAAUGGCUCAUUCAAGGAACCAGACAACAUUGCUACGGAACCGUUGCCUCUCAAAUUUGAGGUGGAACCUUCCCUCUCAAUUUAGCAACGGAAACUAUCCUCUCAAACUGGCAAUGGAGCUUUCAUCGCAAAUCUUAGCGACAGAAACUUCCAUCGCAAAUCUCAAGCUAGCGACGUUUAAUUUCUACCGCUAGUUCAUAAAAUAACUUUCCUCUUAUUACAACGGAACAAUUCCGCUAACUUUGCCAUUUGAUUAAAUUGUUUUUUUUAGUGUAAAUACGUGAUAUAUUGAACUCUGAUGACUCAUUCACCCUUUACUCUUUCAACAUUUCAUAACUCUUACUACUUGAGCUAACCCUUGAGGACCCUAUUUGAUUAAAUUGUUAAUAGAAAACAGUUAAGAGAUGGUGAUAUGAGAGAAGCCAUUUGUUGGGUGUAUUAUCAUCUCUUUUCUUAACUAAUAAGGUUUAUUAUUCAUUUUCAAAAAAAAAGAUCAUAAUUCUUUUUUUUUAAACAGGAUCAUUAUUCAAUGUGAUAUAGAAACUGAAACUUAUUUUAAUAAUUUUUGUUACAUUAGACUUGUACAAUUUAUUGGCGGAUAUGUCAAUUUUAUCUAUAAAAAUAAAGUCGGCUAUUUCUCAAAUUCGAUAUAAACAAAGACAAUAUUGAAAACGCAAACUUGGAUAUAUGGGAUCAAACGCCAUAUAUAUGACGAAGUCAUUACAUGUGUAAUAGAAAGAAAGAAACCUCAACUAUUAUUCUCCUUUUAGCAAUGAAACACCACGCUUUGUCAUUUCUUUUUAUCUUUGUCACAUUCUCAUCUUAUCUCACUGCAGCACAUAUAUUGAAGAUUCCAAGGUUGAGCCCAAUUGCUGAAUGGGAAACAACCUUACGCGACCCUAUUGCAAUUGCAAAUGAUGAUACACAAGAAGAUGUCAAAACAUUUUACUACAAUCAGGUUCUGGAUCACUUCAACUAUAAGCCUGAGAGCUACCAAACAUUUCAACAAAGAUAUUUGAUCAAUUUCAAGUACUGGGGUGGUGCAAAUUCUAGUGCCCCAAUACUUGCCUACCUCGGUGCAGAAUCAUCAAUAGAUAAUUCCUCUACAAACAUAGGAUUUCUUGUUGAUAACGCACCUUCUUUGAACGCUCUCUUGGUAUACAUAGAGGUAACCAAAAAAUUUCAGUGAUCAGAUUCAAGGAUUUGAGCUUGAGACUCACAGAGAUGUGAAUAUAUUCUCGGCUCAAACUUGAUUGACUACCGUAAACAAUUUGAGUUUGACAUUUUUUUACACUUGCUUUUUCUCAUAAUUAGCACCGGUAUUAUGGGAAAUCAAUACCAUUUGGAUCAAGGGAAGAAGCAUUCAAGGAUGCCAACACUCUUGGGUAUUUUAACUCUGCUCAAGCAAUUGCAGAUUAUGCUGCAGUGCUCAUACACAUCAAGAAGACAUUACAUGCCCCUAAUUCCACAAUACUCAGAAAAUUUUCAAUGAAAACACAAACCAGCUCAAAGGAUAAUUAAAGGAAUCAAGCAGGGAAUUACCAACCCAGCCUCUUAAAUGGCUCAUUCAAGGAACCAGACAACAUUGCUACGGAACCGUUGCCUCUCAAAUUUGAGGUGGAACCUUCCCUCUCAAUUUAGCAACGGAAACUAUCCUCUCAAACUGGCAAUGGAGCUUUCAUCGCAAAUCUUAGCGACAGAAACUUCCAUCGCAAAUCUCAAGCUAGCGACGUUUAAUUUCUACCGCUAGUUCAUAAAAUAACUUUCCUCUUAUUACAACGGAACAAUUCCGCUAACUUUGCCAUUUGAUUAAAUUGUUUUUUUUAGUGUAAAUACGUGAUAUAUUGAACUCUGAUGACUCAUUCACCCUUUACUCUUUCAACAUUUCAUAACUCUUACUACUUGAGCUAACCCUUGAGGACCCUAUUUGAUUAAAUUGUUAAUAGAAAACAGUUAAGAGAUGGUGAUAUGAGAGAAGCCAUUUGUUGGGUGUAUUAUCAUCUCUUUUCUUAACUAAUAAGGUUUAUUAUUCAUUUUCAAAAAAAAAGAUCAUAAUUCUUUUUUUUUAAACAGGAUCAUUAUUCAAUGUGAUAUAGAAACUGAAACUUAUUUUAAUAAUUUUUGUUACAUUAGACUUGUACAAUUUAUUGGCGGAUAUGUCAAUUUUAUCUAUAAAAAUAAAGUCGGCUAUUUCUCAAAUUCGAUAUAAACAAAGACAAUAUUGAACACGCAAACUUUGCUCUAUGGGAUCACACGCCAUAUAUAUGACGAAGUCAUUGCAUGUGUAAUAGAAAGAAAGAAACCUCAACUAUUAUUCUCCUUUUAGCAAUGAAACACCACGCUUUGUCAUUUCUUUUUAUCUUUGUCACAUUCUCAUCUUAUCUCACUGCAGCACAUAUAUUGAAGAUUCCAAGGUUGAGCCCAAUUGCUGAAUGGGAAACAACCUUACGCGACCCUAUUGCAAUUGCAAAUGAUGAUACACAAGAAGAUGUCAAAACAUUUUACUACAAUCAGGUUCUGGAUCACUUCAACUAUAAGCCUGAGAGCUACCAAACAUUUCAACAAAGAUAUUUGAUCAAUUUCAAGUACUGGGGUGGUGCAAAUUCUAGUGCCCCAAUACUUGCCUACCUCGGUGCAGAAUCAUCAAUAGAUAAUUCCUCUACAAACAUAGGAUUUCUUGUUGAUAACGCACCUUCUUUGAACGCUCUCUUGGUAUACAUAGAGGUAACCAAAAAAUUUCAGUGAUCAGAUUCAAGGAUUUGAGCUUGAGACUCACAGAGAUGUGAAUAUAUUCUCGGCUCAAACUUGAUUGACUACCGUAAACAAUUUGAGUUUGACAUUUUUUUACCCUUGCUUUUUCUCAUAAUUAGCACCGGUAUUAUGGGAAAUCAAUACCAUUUGGAUCAAGGGAAGAAGCAUUCAAGGAUGCCAACACUCUUGGGUAUUUUAACUCUGCUCAAGCAAUUGCAGAUUAUGCUGCAGUGCUCAUACACAUCAAGAAGACAUUACAUGCCCCUAAUUCCCCUGUGAUUGUAGUUGGAGGAUCAUAUGGUGGAAGUUAGUUCCUUAGAUUGACAAUUCCAUAGUGUUAUGUUCAACUUAUGUACCCUAGUGCAGAGCUUUAAAUUGCGAUUAUAGUUGCUCCUGCAUCGCGGAAUUAUUCGUUGAUGCAUUGCUAUGGACUUUAAAACACUUUACCCUACAGACCACGCGCAAUUUAAAAUUAUGUUCUAAUGUUACUGCCAUUUGUUCAUAUGUAUGCAAAUUGUUCAUAAUAUAAAUGUUUGUUAUAUAUGCAGUGCUUGCUACAUGGUUUAGGCUCAAAUAUCCCCACCUGGCCAUUGGUGCCCUGGCCUCAUCAGCUCCAAUACUCUACUUCGAUAAUAUGACGCCACAAAAUGCUUACUACUCUGUUGUUAAAAGGGAUUUCCGAGUAAUUUACCAUAAUUUGGUUUCCUAUUUUUAUUUUAUCAAAUGCAUUAAUUUUAUAUAUAUAUAUAUAUAUAUAUAUAAGGGGAGUUGAUGAGGAAUUGAUAUCCAUGUAGGAAGCCAGUGGAACAUGCUACGAAACAAUAGUAAACUCAAAGUCUGAAAUCAAAAGAGUAGCUUCUCAGCCAAAUGGUCUUUCCAUUCUGAGCCAGAAAUUCAACACUUGCAAGUACUAAUUAUUUUUUCUUUAGACUAGUUAGCCUUGAGAUAUGUUAUUUUUCAUACUUUCUGACUGGAAUUCAAACGAGCUCGUGUUGCAGUCCCUUGAACCCGUCUUUUGAGUUGCAGAACUACCUAGAGCCCAUGUACAUUCGUGCGGCUCAAUACAAUCAUCCUCCAAGAUAUCCAGUGAAUGUAAUUUGUGGUGGCAUCGAUGGAGCUUCUUUAGGGAGUGACAUCCUCAGUAAGAUAUAUGCAGGCGUUGUGGCUUACAUCGGAAACACCACUUGCAAAUUUAAUGGCCCUACUAAUGUAUCAGAGACACGUGUGGGUUGGAGAUGGCAGGUACUAUUGUAAUAGAUGUUUUGAGUAUUUAUUUAAUUUUUAGUUUUGAUUCAUUCAUAUCUCAUUUUUUAACUUUUUUUUCUUAUUUUUUCUCUUAUUUUCUCAUUAUAUCACUUAUCAAAAUUUUCUCCCUGCGGCGGAGCACAUCAUGAUGCACAAUAGGUGGAGUACCUACAAAAGCAUUUUGGCAAUCGGGCAUAACAUUUCGAACAUAGUUCUAAUAAUUUAACUAGCGUAGUUAAGUGAGAUUUUUUAUAAAAAAAAAGGUGAGAUUGUUAGAUUAAUAGUUAUGUUGGUCUAAAACUUUGUUACGUUGUUGCAUUUCGGGCUUAAUCCUCUCGGGUUGGCUUGAUGGCUUUAAGUGAGAUCAUCGGAUUUUAACCUGAAACAAAUAACAUAUUUUGUGUAUUAUUUAAUUUUCAAUAAUGUUUAUUGAACAUGCGGUGAGUCCCGACUACUAAUCAGCACACACGGCACAUUUUUCUGGCGGUUUAGGAUGCUAAACAUCUUUUUUUACUUUUCUUGUUUAGCGGCAAUUGAAAAUCGUCACUAAACUCGUAUAAGGUAGAUAUGUCGCAAUGCGGGGGUCUUAUUAUUACUCUUUAAUUUUAUGCAAGAUUAUUUUUUAUCUAAAAAUAAUACAUGAUUUGCUUUGUACUAAUUCAGACAUGUAGUGAAAUGGUGAUGCCCAUCGGCAUAGGAAACGAUAGUAUGUUCCAACCUGCUCCUUUCAACUUCACAACAUUUGCCGAACAGUGUCACACAAAAUAUGGUGUCUCACCUCGUGCGCAUUGGGUCACUACUUACUAUGGUGGUCAUGUAAGUAUUUGUUUGUUUUCUUCUCACAAUAACAUAUAAGGUUAUAUAACGGGAUGAUGCUUCAUUGUACGUGUUAUGUGACAAUUGACAAAUGGCAGAAUAUAAAAUUGGUCCUUCAAAAGUUUGGUAGCAACAUCAUUUUCUCAAAUGGACUGAGAGAUCCAUACAGUAGUGGCGGGUAAGUACGUAAAAUACAAAAAGAUAUAUUUAUGUUAAUUGUUUUAUUUUGAGUAUUUAAUUUGUUUUAGAAAUAAUACUUUUAAAUAGCUUAAUUUGCAUGAUGUCCAGGGUUCUGAAGAACAUUUCAGAGAGUCUUGUUGCCGUCCAUACAAUCAAUGGUAUGCCACUAUGCCUUUGAUACUUUGUCCAUAUAUAAUUUGCAGCAGUUUUAAACACCGUUAAUUUAUAUGUUGGUGCCGAUUGAGACCGUACUUUUACUUUUUUUUUUUUUACUAAAUUAUGGUGGGCUAAGAAUAAAAUUAUUCUAUAUAAAUUUACAUAGUCAGUAAUGAAAUUAAUUUUUUUAAGGUCUUGGCCCUAUGCCCCCCUUUUUUUUUUAAUUUCAAUGCCACAUAUAUUAAUCAGAUAGUGCAGCAUCUACAAAUAAAGCUUGCUCAAUUUCAGUUGGGGUAUUUUCCAACCAGAUCCUAGAUUGGUACUUGCAAGCAACUGAAGCUAAUAUAUGGGCUGGUACAUUGGCUUUGCGCCUUACAUGAGAAAAAAUAAUAGAGGGAAAGGUUCUAGCUAGUGCCUUACUGCCCUAUGCCCCCUUUAGAUACGUUGAGAAUUGGUACAUCACAUUGUUGAGUUAAGAGUAAAUAUUGUAGGUGAAUGACGGUUCCAACCCUGAAGAGAGAUAUUUUUUACCAAAUAAUUAUAUUAAAUACGGGGCAUAUAUAAUGGGUGCCUCAAACUACAAAAAAAUAUGAAAGAUGAAGAGGGAAGUGUUAGAAGUCUCACAUUGGCUAGAGGUAUGGUCAAUCAAGUGUUUAUAAAGGGUAGAGCAGCCCUCAACUCUUGAGAUAACUUUUGGAUUGAGUUAGGCCUUCUAAUUCUAAUAGGAAGCAAGAGGAAAACCCAAAGGCUGAAACAGAAAAGCGGUGAAAACAUAUCAGCAAAAAACGGGAACAAAGAGGUAGGCCAACAAGUUUCCUGCUACUGCAUAACCUGCUUCAUAGCAAAGCCAGCAAGGAGCAGCUCGCCCUUUAGGAAGCGCGAAAAUCAACAUCAGCCAGCCCAAUCACAGCAGUACACACCACUACCACCCCUCGACUCCAAUAGAAACUGCAUAAGCAAUAUACCUCAGGCCUUUCACGCCCAAGAAGAAACUCAAGCCUUAGAAGGAGCUCCAAAUACUUAUACCAAUCAAAACCCUCCCCCAAACAGAUAGAUGGAUUGCACUCCCAGUCAUAGAUAUUGUUAGUAAAAUCCUUCUUUUUACAUCUUAGCCACUUCCAUGAUCUGAAUUCAAUUAAAUCCAGAGUCUUCUAAACACAAGCCAAGCCUAAAUUGGACAUGACAUCAUUCCUUUGGAGCCAAAUGGACCAAAUUAUUGCAACCCAAACUGCUCACCAACCCUGUUUUGAUCCAUAACACAAGUUAUGCACAUGUUGAGCAAAGCGAGAUUUUGCUUCCUAUUGAAAAACUGACCUCACCCCUAGCCAAUUAUAAACCUAGACCCAUACACCCCUAGAAAACUUAUAAGAAAAGAAAAGGUGGUUCAUGAUUUCCUCUUGAUCCUCACAAAAGACAUAAAUACAUUGUAACCCCGGUUGGAUGAUGUUCAUUUUCCUGAGAUUUUCCCUAGUCGGGAUUCUGUCUGGCAUAACCCUCCAAGAAAAAGAGACAACAUUCGGAGGUGUUGGUAUAGACCAUAGCUACACUUCGCAUUCUUCCAGUGAUACUAUCUCACUCUGAAUCUCAUAAGUGGAUUUGACACUAAAAUCUCCAUCUGAGGAAGCUUCCCAAAACCAGGAAUCCUUCGCCCCCCUUGUUUUAGUUGUACAACGCUAAGGUCUUGCAUCCAUUUCUCCAGUAAUUGGUUCUCCCAAACAAAAAGAUAUCUCCUCCAAAUGAACUUCCACUUCCAAAAUCCUUCCUCCCAAACACCCAUUUCUUUGAUUGAGCAAGCCAAUGAAAAGUCUCCUAAACUUUGACUUCAAAUUAGACUCCCCCAUCAUCCACCUAUCUUCCCAAAACAGAGUUGAGCUCAUAUCUCCAAGUUUCCUCUUCACAUUAUCCUCUUCUCCUCCUUCUCCUCUACAGAUAGUCCUUAAGUCCCUCCACCACACAUAGCCCAUUCACCUCACUAACCCGGUUUGCCACCACAUACUUAACAUGCAACACCUUAGACCACAAGCAGUACGUGUUGAUCUUUUAGAAAUCUCCAUCUCCAUUUUACCAACAGAGCUUUAUUGAAGGCCUCCAGAUCCUUUAUACCUAGCCUCCCUUCCGCCUUCGGGCGGCAAACUGUGUCCCCUUAACCCAAGAUAUCUUUCUCACCCCCUCACCACUUCCUACAGAAAUUGUUUUUGAAUCUUUUUGCACAAAAAGGAGAUACAUUUGGGCUUCUUAAAGAAGGAUAGAUAAAAGAGUGGGAUAGAUGAAAGCACACUUCUCGUUAAAUACAUUCCCUCCCAAAGAAAGCGAUUUGUGCUUCCAAGAUAAUUUGUACUAAUUUACUAAUAACUAACAUUUGCCUAUAAAAAAAAUGAUACGCCACGAACAACAUGAUAAUUAUAUAUUUAGUUUUUUCUUGUAUCUCGUACUCCAUUGGAAAAUAGUUGUUGUUUUAGUUAUUCUCUUAUUUAUUUAUUUUUAAAAAAUUGUUUUAGAAAUUUAAGACUGUUUAUUAUAUAUGUUUUCAUCCAUGAUCUCAUUUAAUAUUAUAUGUCUCAUCUAUCAUUUCAUAUUUUCACUUAUCACAAUUCUCACCAAUGACUUAUUCAAUAACCAUAUUUCGCUCAAAUUAGUUCAAACCAACUUUAAAUAAAGAUAUAUUUUAGUUAAAUUAUAUAUAAGUUAAUAAGCUCUUUAAGUUGUCUGCAUAACCUUCUACAACAACUUUUUUAAAAUGGAGGGAAUACUAUGAAUUUUAUAAUCCAAUCAAAUAAUAUAUGUGUGAUGAACUUAAUUCAAUUUUUCAGGAUCUCAUGGCCUUGAUAUUUUGGCUGCAAAUCAAAGCGAUCCAGAAUGGUUGGUCGAACAGAGGAAGAUAGAGAUUAAGAUUAUCAAAGACUGGAUCACCCAAUAUCAUGCUGAUCUUGAUUCAAACUAAAUUAAAGGAAUGCUAAAUUCCUGAACAGAUGAUCGGAUGAAAAAUAAGUUAAAAGUAUCCCUUUUACACAUACGUAGGAAAAGUUUAAAUACACCACCAAUACACGUCAGUAAUAAUGAUGUCAGGUAGCCAAUGGAUUGGUGAAUUAUUGAUGAUGAUGUUGUAUAAUUUCAAAAAAAAAAAAAAACUCUUCUUCUUUUGGAAUAACAAAUUUUUUUAUUAAAAAGCUUGAGAACAAAUCUCUUAAGUGAGUAACUUUCUUUUAAGAGGAAUAUAUUAAUAGAUAAUGUUGAGAAACAAACCUUCUCAAUAUAUAAGUAUAGUUACUAAACCAAUAAAGGUUAGCAUAAACGUAGGCACUGCAAUAACUCCCUCCAAUGACUUCUAAAGACCCCAUAAGUAAUGUCAAACCAAACAUAAGUAGGAGAGGUCUCUAUUGAAGUUGGAAACAGCGGUAGGCUCAACUGAAGGAUCUACCAAUCGCACUGCAAGAUAGAGAUUCAACCCAAAUGUAACUUUGGCUUUGAGAUUUCACCUCUCGGGUCCAUAAUGGUCAAUAGCUUUGACAACCAACUUACUCAAGACAAAGAAGAACGAUCUAUAAUCAUUCAUAACUUCUGGGAAAUGGACAACGACCCUCUUUGAAAAAAGUUCCCGCAAACUCAAUGGGUGAAAGAAAUUUCAGCCAAACAGAGGCCCUCGGGACAUUAAAAUUACGAUGCAAUCCUUCCCCAUACCAGGCAAUUCAAUCCAAGAAGCAAGGAUAACUUUAUCCCUGAAGCAAUGAGAAUGACCCAGGAUCUUAAUCACAAACCCUGGCAUAUUUUAGUCUUAACAGCUUACUUUUCUAUCAAUGGUUCUCCUCAAUCACAUUUAUUUUUUUAAAUGUACAAUUUAGUUUAGAGUAAUUAAAUAAAUACCUAUGUGGGGAGGUUUGUUCUUUGUUUUUGUCAUUGGGACCUUUUGGUGUUUAUUAUUGCUCUUUGCUUUUGUCCUCUAUUCCUUACUUGGGAGAUGUUUGUUGAACUUGUUCUUUUUUAUUCAAUUCUAUUUUCUAGAAAAAAAAAACUAUAUAUAUAUAUAUAUAUUUGGGAAAAGACUGAAAUAAAAAUCAAGAAGCCACGACAUAGUUUGUAGAUAGUUGGUAACAUGGAGCAUUUUAUCAAUCGUUCGAUUCUUGAGCGGUAUAUAUGAAUAAUGACUUGUUAGGAAAGAUAUAUUCAUUUAAUAUGUGAAAGAAUAAUUCCAAUCAAAAUUCAAAACAUAUGUUGUAAUGCCAUAUGAAUAUGAUCAUUAAUUAGUAGGAUCAAUCUGUUGGAAAGGCAAUGUUAAUUGGUUAUGCGUUAUAUGUGCGUUUUAUUGUAACAAUUUGCUUCAAUGGGUCUUAAAAUCACACCUUUUAUAUUAUUUCCUUCUAUGCAGAUGGAUACCACCAUUAGCAUAGAGAGAUAAGAAAAUUUAGACAAAGUUUAAGGGGACAUUUACUAAAUCAUUUGGAAUACAAGAAAACAAGAAGAAGAGAAAACACACAAUUUAUUGUGUAUAAGCUUUACUGCCUUGUAAAAGCUUUUUAACUUGGUAUAUAAGCAUUCCUAGUGGUAGUGGCGGCAUUGUUUUUUUUUAUUAUAUAACUUUCAUACUUGUAUGAAUCAAGAGAUAGAAACCUCAUUUCCAGUCCAAAAAGAAGCUUCUUGGCGAAGCAAGAGAGAUGUACGAGGAGGAUCAAGUCCUUCCCAUACAUGAUCUCGGUAAUCAAACGCUAACUUAGCAAUGUGGUCAGCCACAACAUUUACAGUCAUACUACAAUUAAGCAAAAGACAAUAAUUGAAAGAAGAUGAGAUGGUUUUACAAUCUUGCACUAUGGAGGCCAAGUAGUUGUUAUGAGGGGACGAUCUUUUCCAGACUUGGAAGAGACUGAGGCAAUCAGUUUCCACCUCAAGAUCAUUGAACCCGAGGUCUCUUGCCAUUGUGAGGCUCCAACGGAAAGCCAUUGUUUCUGCAAUUUCUGGCUCGUAAGCAAAUGGGAAGAAACGUGUGCCUGUUGCUAUUGGUUUCUCGUUAUGGCCUCUGAAAACAACUCCCAUGCCUGUUCCCAAGCUUUCCCGGACUGAGGCAUCAAUAUUUUCUUUGAUUCUGUCCCUCAUUGGAGGCUUCCACAGAGGCGGGUCUACAGCUUGGACCUGGCCCCUCUGGUUCUUUGGUUCUUAUUCCAGGAUGAGCAUAAGUGAGGCUUGGGUAAUUACUUGCUCGUGAGUCAGCUUCUUCUCAUCAAACAACCAUGAAUUUCGCAUCUUCCAGAUAGCCCAAGCUAGAGUGAACACCCAUUGGAGUAACUCAUCUGGUAGAGAGUCGAAGAGAAUUUCAAGCCAAACCUUGAAAUUGUGGUCCACCGACCCAUCAAAAAAGAGGCCCAGGGGUGAGAGAAACCAAAUUGCUCUAACCUCAGGACAAAUUAUAAGAGUGUGGCCAGCUGAUUCAACUUAUUCACCACACAUUGCAUAAAUUUGGUCCACUGUUAUGCCUCUUAUGAACGGACCUUGUCUAACUGGGAUGGCAUUGUGUUCAGCGAGCCAGAUGAGUUCCUUGCAUCCGGAUUGGGCCUUGACCUCCCAUAAAUCAGUCCAAAGAGUGCUAGGACCCGAGGUGGAAGGGAAAACUUCAUUGGAUUCCAUUUAGAUGAGAUGGUGGCCGAAUUUCACAGAGUAUUUGCCAUUUUUGGCAAGCUUCCACAUCAAUUUAUCUUGUUUGUCAUGGAUGGGGAGGGGAAUUUGCAGGAUCUGAUCCGCUUCAAAGCAAGACAAAUUGGCCUGAAUUAGGGGUGCAUUCCACGUAUUUGUAGUUGUGACAAUAAGGUCAGAAACCAUAACCAGAUUUGUGUUAUAAUUCUCCCUUACAGCUAGUUCAUUGGGUAACUAGCUAUCAUGCCAUAUUCUCAUUUGGCUUCCAUCGCCUAUCUUCCAUCUUGCACCCUUUUCUAUGAUGUUCUUUGCUCCCAAGAUGCUUCUCCAUGUGUAGCUAGGGCGGAAGCCAAGGUGAGCUUCAUUCACAUUGCUGGAGGGGUGGUAUUUUGCUUUUAAGAUCCUAGCCAGAAGAGAGUUUUGGUUAGUUCUUAGUCUCCACCACUGUUUCGCCAGUAACACUUUGUUAAAAUUCUUGAUACCCCUGAAACCGGGGUCCCCUGUUAUCUUCCUCUUCAUGAUCUUUUCCCAGAUCAACCAAUGCGUUUUCCUUUUUUCAGUGUCGCCUCCCUAGUAAAAUCUGCUGAUGAGGCUCUCUAUGUGAUGGCAUAAGGACUCCGGAAGGGCAAAGCAUCUCAUUAUGUAAGUGGGAAUAGCUUGAGGCACAUUUGACGAGAACUUCACGACCAGCCCUCGAAAGAGUGCGUUCCUUCCAACCCUUUAACUUUUUCCAGACUUUAUCCCACACAAGGGAAAAAACCUGAGACUUUGAGCGUCCUACAAUUGUAGGAAGACCCAAGUAUAUAUGGUGACUCUCAACCGCCUUCAUUCCCAAAAGCUGCUUGAGCUCUUCAACAUGGGUACUAGGCACACCUCGACUCCAUGAGAGUUCAGAUGUGUCUAGGUUGAUCUUUUGGCCAAAAAUAGCCUCGUAAGUUUGUAGGAUCUGAAGACUAACUACUGCCCCUUGCACUAAUGCCCUUGCAAACACCACACUAUCGUCCGCAAAGAGGAGGUGUGAGAGAGUAGGAGCCCUCGGGGCAAUCCGAAUUCCGGAGAGGGACUUUGACACUACUGCUUGGUGUAUCAUUGCAGAGAAGACCUCAACAUACUGAAUAAAAAGGAAUGGUGAAAGAGGCCUUGCUAGAGGCCCCUUUGAGGGAAGAAGCAUUUAUAUGGACUCCCAUUGAUCAUCAUUGAAAAGGUCACCGUCGAUACACAGCUCAUCACAACCCGAAUCCAUGCUUGAGGGAAGCCAAAGUCGGUCAGUGUGAGCUCCAAGAAAUGUCACUCAACACGGUCAUAAGCCUUUGACAUGUCGAUUUUUAGUGGUAUGUUACCCGAGUUGCUCCUAUUACACUUCAUGUGGUGGAAACACUCGAAAGCCACUAGAGCAUUGUCCGUUAUGAGGCGGUGGGGCACAAAGGCGCUUUGGUUUUCAGAAACAAUGUCAGGGAGGAUUAAUUUCAACUAGUUUUCUAAGACCUUUGUGACAAGCUUGAAUAGGACGUUGCAUAGACUUGUGGGACGGUAGUGGCUAGUGUGGGCUGGCUUCUUGAUUUUUGGGAUCAACAUAAUGAGGGUAUGUUUGAUUUCUUUUGGACUUCUAUUUCCAUUUAGAAUCUGGAGCACCAAGUCUGUUACUUCAUCUCCCAUGAUAUUCCAGAAUUUCUUAUAGAAGAGAGCAUGGGUACCAUCACUUCUUGGAACUUUUGUCGGGUGCAUACAGUUGAGGGCCUCAACAACUUCCUCUUGGCUGUAUGGGUUGUUUAAAAUAAGCUCGUGGACUGCUUUGAAUCUCCCACUCACAAGGGUUGCAGGAUCAGUGGUAAGAGGAGGGGGUAGUUGCUUGGAAGAGAUUUUCAAAGUAACCAUUGAUUACCUCAGCUAUGUCUUCUUCCUCCACAAACCUGUUGCCCGGAUCGUCCUCUAUGGCAUCAAUGAUGUCUCUGGAUUUUUGCUACGAGGCUUUCAUGAGAAAAAAGUUGUGUUUCUAUCUCCAAUGGCAGCACUGUUAGAUUCAUCUUUAUUGCACAAAACCUAGGGAUCUCUUCCUGAUUUUCUUUUAUUCAAUGAUAGGAUGAACCCUAGGAAAGUGGUGUAGUUGUCACACUUGUAGUUGAAGUGAUCAAGUCUUUGGGUGUAUUAGAAUGUUUUGAGGUGUUUAGGCGCAAUUGAUAAGAGGAAGACAUGGUUUGUGGUUCUCGUUCUUUGGUUCUCCGGAAAUUUCCUAACCUUGGAAUGUUAAAGGCAGAGGCACAAACUGAGAUAAUUAUAAACAAUAGAGAAAGACAUUGAAAUGACGGAAUAAUAGAUCACAUUGCUUAGUUUAGUUGAGAGAACGUGUAUGUCUUAUAGGAUGCAAUGUUUCUAGGUUCUAAUAUAAUCACAUAUGUGUGUGCGUGCUGCGUGCGUACUCAGGUUAUCUUUUUCCCUUGUGUUCACAGGUUGAGGAGCCAACUCCACAUUAGUUUUUCUCCUACUCUUUUUCCUUGCAGGUAAGGAUGUGGAUAUAUAACUUGUUUGGAAUCUCAUUUGUUUUACCUGAAAAUUGGGUAUGAAUGUGGAUAUAUAACAUAUUUAUGCCCAAAAAAAAUGUGUCUUAGUUCCCUCGGUGUGGUCACUACCAUACAAUUUUGACCAAGUGCGGGUUAUAAAUGUUUAUUGUGAUCAAUGAAUUACAAUGCGCUAAUGAUUAGCAUUUUAUGAAUUUUUUUCCCCUUGAAUUAUUAAAGGAAGAAGCUUACACCAAUGGACGACAAUCAAUGGUGAGAACAGAGCGACUUCAGUUUCGAUUGGACAAAGUUCUUGGCUUUUGGUAAAGAAGGAAGAGAGAAUGGUAAGUACACUCAACUCUUCAGGUUGGUGAAAAGGUCUCAUUCUUUUUCAAAAUCUAUAUUUCAGUCUCCUCCCUCUAACUAGUUAACCCAUCUUAAAAGAUGCUAAUUAACAAAAAUAAAAAUAGUUAGAGGAAGUGAGAUUAACUAGUUGAUGAUAUUUGGUUGAACUAAAAUCAAAACCAACAACCUCAAAAUCAGUCUUAAGGAAAUGUUACACUUGUUAAUUAAAAUCAAAAUAUUGGUCACUCGCUUGAAAGAACUCAUGAGAAUAAUUCAGGAGCAUAAGAAGUACACAUGUAGUCAAAAAGGCCUGAAAUAGACAGGGAUUAAAUGUAGGAUAUUAAAUGAAUCUUAUCAAGUUUCAACAUUUGUUAGAUGUAGUAUCAAAAACCUAGUUACAAGGGGUUCGAAAGUGCGUAUAGUCAUCAAGUUUGUUGUUGAAAGAGGGGAAUUAAUACUACAUCCACUCUUGGCAUUGUUGUUGAUGAAUCAAUAGGUUUUCACCUGAUUUUGAGAGCACCAAGAUCAACAUAAUAUUGCGUUAUCCACUCUUUGAUAAUCUUGACCUCUUUCUUUCGUUGUAAGACUAGCCAAUCUGGGUCACUUUGAUGCAUGAUAAAAAUUGAGGUCCUAAAAAAUCGUUGUUAGUCACUAACAUAUUACUAUAUGAAAACGUUUAAUAAAAAUAUGUAGUAGAGGCAAUUUUUUAAUUUAAUUAUUUUAUAAACUCAAAUCACCAUAACCAAUCUUUAAAUUUGUAACGUAAAGAUCUAAUACAAAUUAAAAAUAUUAAACGAGAAUACCAAAGACAUACCAUUGACAAUAUAGAUGGCAAUCAGACUAUCUGAUAUGUUGUGUUCAAAGCAUGAAUUUGUGUUGUGUUCAUAGAAUGAAUCCGUGCGAACUAUGUUCAUGACAUAAAUCCGUGCAAGGUGCGUGCAUUGAAUGAAUUUGUGCGAGUUGAAUUCAUAUGUCUAAUCCAUGAAAAAACUAAGGAAUUUGGAUAAUAGUCAAUAAUGUAAAAAUUCAUUGUCCCUUCCAAUUAUCGAAUGUAGAAUUUAGUUUUAACAAUACUUGUAAAUGUCAUUACCUACCAACUCCAACUAUCAUCAGUUGUCUCAUAAACAGUAGUACAAGUGGCAUUUCCGUUGAAAGCCACCAUACCUGCAUAUAUUUUACUAAGGAUGUCACUUCCAAAAGAAACUCCAUCAAUGUCACCGCAUAUCACGCUAGUCGGAGGAUAAUUGUAUUGAGCCGCAUAAGCAUUGUUGAUGGUAUUCUAGAGGUGAAAAGGAUCUAACACACACUAAGUUCUAUUGCAUAACAUAGCAGAAAAUUUAGAGUGAGAAAGAGUGUUUAGAGGCUGAAAUUUCUUGUAUUUCUCUUGAUUAAUUUCUUCAUCUCAUACACAUGUAUAUAUAGCAUGUGAGAGUGAUUGUUACAAACACCAAGAGUCGCCACUAACAGUUGAGCACCCCACUUAGCACUAAGUGCUUCCACUAACAUAAUAACAAUUAACACAUGACUCUUCACAACAUAUAACUAAUUCUCACUAUCAUAAUCUUACUCCACUAGGAAUUAAAUCAACACAUUACUUAACAAGCAUAAAUCAAAAUUAGGUUACAACUCAAGAGACUGUUUUAAGGGAGUCCGAGAAAUGAGUAAAUGCAAUUUUAAUUAAGCUCAACUCCAAAUUCCAAAUUAAAGAAACAAGUUAGAGAGAAGUAAUCAAAAUUAGUCUAUAUGAUGGCAAGAGUUUAAUCUCUUUUGCUCAUAAUGGAAAGACCCUUUAGCUGUGGAGCUACUUCGUCAAUUUCGUACCAGGAUUUUAUUAUUGUUUCAUAGCAUGUCUCACUGGCUUCCUACAUGUAUGUAUAUCAAUCUCUUGAAAACUCACCUUAAUUUUAUAUAUGCAUUUGAAUUUGAUUUGAUAAACAAAAUACGUGUAAAUAAUCAUGGUGUAAAAUUACAUGAAAAUCCCUUGUAACGACAUAGUAGUAAGGACUUAGUGCCAGUAGUAUGAUAUUACCAAAUAGAGUAUAAGAGCUGAUGAGGCCAAGACACCAAUGGCUAGGUGGGGUGAGGAUAUAUAAUUUGAGCAAUAACUUACUCUUACAUAUUUCUUAGAAUGAUUAAGUUAGUUUGUGCUUUCUAUGUUACAUAUCCACACUCUUCUUUGGGUAUGUCUUUAUAGAUCACAUGAAAUGAAGUAAGUCUUUUCCUUUCCUUAAAAUCUCCAGCUUCGACAAAAUCCAAAGGCUAUAGAUUCACUCCAAAGGAUUCCUGCAUCAGUUCUAUCCGCAAAUUGUAGUCUAAGAUAUGUAGCCGUCGAUGUCAUGGCCACUAACCAGCAACUCAUUUUUCAAUCAUUUAUGAUAUUCAAGGACAAUUUGAUUCUAAAGAAUGUAAUACAGGCCAUGAAGACGAUGUAUAAAAUAAAAUAUGAAUACAUUGAUAAAAAUGAAUUGAAAAAAUCAAAAAUUGAAGAACCAAGAUUAGGGGGAAGAACACAAGCAUCAUGUGGUGCAUGCAACCAUGAACAAAAAUAUUAUCCACGCUAGCACAAGCAGUAGACACAGACAUGCAAUCACACAAUUCAGUUCAACUAGCAGCAGUAGUACACAAUAUACAACGCAUUCGACUGCCACCUGUCUCCGUCUCUUCCUCUUCAUCACUACUAUCAUCAACAAAACCAUUGUAAGCAUCAUAUGUUUCUGUCUCUCGGGAAGUGGCUCCAUUAUCUUUCUUGCUACUACUAGUGUAGGAAGAAUCCAUAAGACAAGUUGUGUGAUAAGCAUGACAGCAAAAGAAAACAAUGACUGAUACAUUCUGUAUAGAAAAGGGGUCAAAACAUAUACAACAUCUUCCCCCACCCCUAGUCUUUGAUUUCACUUCCAUGGUUCUCAGACUCGGGGAUUUCUCAAACAUCUGAGAAGCUCUUUUAGCUCGCGGCUCAUCUUCUUCAUUACUUAAAUAUAUUCCUUGCUUUGCCUCUUUGUAAUACUUAAUUAAUAAGUUGACACAGUCUGCCUGUUUUAAUGAGAGCAAAGGGUAUCUUAUGUCAUCAUGCCACCCAUGCAAAAUUGAUGUUCCGAUCUAAUAAUCAAUGAAAAUUUUCCCCAGCCGAUCCCUGAGCCUGUAGAAAAGCAGAUAUAGAAAAUACUCUUACAGUGAAUAACGCAAUGCUACUAAUUACAAAAUGUAGCUGGAAUUGGGAAGCAAGAACGAUCAAACUAUCCGAGCAAAUAGUUAAAAUGAAAGAAAUGGUGAACAACAACAUGCAUAUGCAUAAACAUAAUUAUAAACAGGCAUGUCCUACUAAAUACAAUCUACAAUCCAAAUGUGAUUAACUUUAUUCGUCCGAUAUGCUUUAUGAUUAGAUGAAUGUAAUUGCUGUUUAAGUCAUAUCUAUUGCUUACCGAGGUAUUUCCAUCCCAUUAGGAAACCUAUUUACAAUGUAGAGGGGAUCAAGGUUUCCAACUGUGUGCUCCAAUAGUAUGCCCACCUGUCAAUUACAAGAAUCCAUCUCAGAACCAAGUUAAGAAAGAGCUGGUAUACGAAAUAGGUAAAGACUGGGUGGGUAUAUUUGUUUCUGUCACAGCUUUUUUGUUUUUAAAACUCAUGUAAAUUCUAUCACUGUAAACAAAGUUUUGUAAUAUAUUAAGAUUUUAGGAACAACUUUGAAAAUAAAAACAAUUAAAAAUCUUUUUGGAAAAUUUGCUCUUGAUAAGACACAUUUUUUUCCCUCAAAAUAAUGACUUGUCCAGAGACUUUCCAUCUAAAAAAGAACAGACAACAUUAAAAGCCUUUUACACACUAAGUGCUCGAGUUGGUUAAGCUUAGCUGUUAGCAUACAGUUACACCAUGUUAGUUAGAGUCUGUUAGCACUCAAUGUAUGUAUAUAUAACUAUUCGUUGAUACAGUUAUUUCUCUUAAAUCUUUUAGUUCAGUUUAUGUUUUCUCUUCUAUCAAAAAGGAGGGAAUCUCAAAAGGCAGAGUGACCAAAAAUAUUUCACUGUAGAUGCUCAAUGUGACCAUCUUUAAGCGUGACCAUGCUUUAUCUGGAAGCAUCUUCAAAAUUAAAAGAGGCGGGGGGUGGGGGGGUGGGGGUGGGGGGGCCAGCAUAGGAAAAGGGUGAGACAAGAGACGGUGUGCUGUCAUGUGAUAGUCGUCACAAUAGCAUGCAUUGUGAUGCAGAAGAAGCAAUCCUUGACUUGACAAAGGUAGCACACACGUGUCAGCUAAUUAGAGGUUUAUUACGAAAGCAUAUAAAAAGAGAAAUAAGGAUGAGUCUAGAGAUAUAGUAAUUAGGAGAGAAUAAUUCCAAAACAGAAUUACUGGAAGUAAUUUUUUUUAACGUAAUUACUGGAAGUAGAUAUUGUUAAAUUUUUAAAUUUAGUUAUUAAAAGAGAAUCAUUUGAGAGUUAUUAGAAGUAUAUAUUAUUAAAUAUAGUAAGUUAGUAAUAGUAACUAUAAAAGCAUUGUUUUAUAGUGAAUUUAGGAUUAUUAAGAAUAUGAUAAAAUAGGAGAACUUGGAAAAGAUAGUAUGUUAUAAAUAAUAGAAGCAAAGAGAGUGAAACCAUCAACGAAUUUGUGUGAGAAUUGAGGUCUUCGGGCAGGUAGGUGCCAACCCUCAAAGAUCUAUACUGUAGUAACCAGGGGAGAUUUUUCCUAUUCUUUUUAUUAAAAUACCAGCUUCCUUAAAAAAUUUAAGUGCCCUAGCAAAGAGACUUGAAAUGAAGGUAAAACACACAGUAAGAGAAGAGGUUGCUCAAAAUGAAUGAGAUGUUUAUAAAAAUUGCAACAGCAUUUUUGAAAAAGAAAAAAAAGUCAGAACAUCCAAAAGAUGUUCCUGGUUUUGGUUUUCAAAAUAGUUGAUGUGUUCCGAAUCUUUAAAAUAUGGAAUAGGAACCAACUCCCAAACAGUUUUCGUUAUUCAAAAACAUAAACCUAUCUUGAAAACAAAUAAUCAAACUGGCCUGAAUUCAUAAAUAUACAAUAAGUUAUCAAGAUAUACCAUUUCAGGUUUGUGAAGGCAUUGCUUGAUCAGUUCUUCCCAAAGUUCAUCAUCAUGCUGCAUGGUCACAAACUCUACAGCCUGCACAAAAUUAAGAUCACUUCAACUCAACAUUAGAUCCAUUUAAGUUUUGAUUCAUGAUUACAAGACGGUUGAAACCAAAAACCAUAAAAGAAAAAGAUGAAAUACCUCCUCUAUGUCCCCUAAUUUAUUUAUAAUAACAGCUAGGGCUUGUUUUGAGUUUCCCAUCCUUCCAAGGAUGAAGACUUGCUCUCUCAUUAGGUCUCUCCUAACGCAAAUUUCAUAAGCCUGAAAAACAUUUUGGACACUUUGGUUCAUAGUUGGUUCAUAGGUAUGCCAUAUGCAAAUAUAUAAAUACUAAGGUCAUUUGGUUGAUCACAAACCUUCUCAAGGGUAUAGUGUUGACUGCCUCGAAGAAAAGGUAGCAGCAUCUUUGGAUCAUAGUCUGCAUAGAGUUCUACCUAUGUAGUAGACAACAGGUUGAUAUUAGCUGAGAAAACCAUUUAAUCUGAUGUAGGAGCUUUUUAAGAUAAUUUUAGUAUUUUAGUAAUUUUACUUAUUUGUAAUUAAGAUCUUUUAGGAUCUUAAUUAUUUUUUGUUAGGAACUUAUUUAUUUUCAAUUAGGAUCUUUUAUUUUCAAUUAGGAUCUUUUAGGAUAUUAUUUAUUUUACUAUUAGGAUAUUUUCUUUUCUUAUUUAAGCACUUGUAAGGCAUAGCCUAUUGGAGUUUUGAUUGAUAAUAAAAUUUAAGAGUUUUCUCUUCUUCUCUGGUGGAUUCCAGUGUAUUUUCUAGGGUUUUAGCGCUUGCUAAUUUCCUUUCUGGUGGAUUCCAGAAUCAGAGGUCGCACAUGAAAAGAAAACUCUCAAACGGAAGAAUAUGAAAAUAUCAUUCACUAAUAUUUCUGAUACACACAAGUUAGAUUUAUACAAAGCACUUUGCCUUCACAUUAAACAAAAUAAACUAAUGUCAAAUCCCAUGAUUCAUUAGGAUUUCCCUUUCAACCUUUUUACGUUGUUGUGUUAGAAUAUAGAAAAAAGUCAGCUGUUCCUUGCCUAGGACUGUCUCUCGCUCAUAUUCAAUAAAAGAAAUAAAGGCAGCAAUUACUUUGGAUUGAACUCAUUAUGAUAAACACAUGGCUUUCAUCGAUUCUAAAUACAUACAUACAUACAUAUAUAUAUUGCAUUGAGUGUGGAUUUACAACCUGCAAAUCAUGAAAAUCCUUCCCAGCAUGUGGAUUUACUUCAAAUAAUGAAUGGAGAUAUAAAUGUAGGAAAUAUCUGCAGUCACACUUAAUAUCAGCAUCUAGUAGCUGCUUCACAACUUCAGGGGGACUUAUUAAGUCCUUAUUUUGAAUUAAUAGAGGAACAGCACGCUUGCAGUCAAGCAUCAUCACUUGGACAACCUGAAGGCACAGGUUAGACAAAUAAUAUUCAAAUGGUCAUAAAAUCAUAUUUGAGGAUACAGUAUGCUUCUAACAGUAACAGAAGUACUUUUGAUAUCAAACUAUUAUUUACUCAUUAAGCCAACAAAGCAAAGUUUAUAAGUGUUAUUUCAUAGUGAUUGGAGGACACAAGCGAUCUAAGGACAGAAGCAACAACGGUAAUUAUAAGAUGUUGGUCACAAUGAUGAAGGGGGGUGCUGGUGAUGACAGUGAUUGGAGGAUGCUGCCAGCACUGGCACUUGGCCAGCACUAGAAAAUAAAGGUAGCUAGAGCAUUCCAUCAGCAAUGGUUGCUAAGGUAUGCAGCGACAGAUAAAAAACACUCAAUGAAAUAGUUUUAAGUUUUAACCUUUGAAAUUGGAACUGUAACACAACUAGGCUAAGAAUAGACAAUACUCAAAAUAGUAUCAAUUCCAUUGAUUUGGCCUUUCUGUGCUAAAGUAAAAGCCGAACAAGAUAAAUAGAAUUGGUCGGUCCAACUCAAUGUGCCAAAUAGCACCUAAGAGAUGUGUCAACAUAAAUAACUUGAUCAUAAUAUACUACACUGGUACUUGUAAUAAGAUUCUUUAGAUGCACUAAUGCUUAAAACCAAAUAGCAAUAAUGACACAAAAUAACUUCUUAAAAUCAAAUGCCAACUGUGACACAGUAUGUUUUGGGGCUUGGGCAUCAACUUACGCUACAAACUACAAAGAAAAGAUUGGAGAAUUCCAAGAUAAAUUAUGCUUCAAGAAUUACUAUCAUACCUUUUCACGAAUUGCAUCAUGUAGAUUAUAUUUAUCAAUGAAGUCAAAUACUUCUGGUUUCAUGAGCUGAAAUUUCAACAGGAAAAGAGGGAGGAAGUAAGACUACUAUCAAAGCAAUGUAUACAACACACUCUUUUAAAACACUAUCACACAACUCCUAUGGUUGAUCUUUUUUUUUAAAGUCCAGGUCUACUUUUUUUUUAAAUUGUGUUAGACCUUUCAAAAAAUAAACCAAGCACAUGGAGCGUGUUGAAGAGUGUGAUUGGAAGAGUGUGUCGCUAGCAUUUCCCUUGUACAACAUUCAAUCAAUACAAUUGUGAGCACAACAAAAAUUAGUUAAGAUUACGACCACCUACAUCAGCAUACAACGAGAAGGCCUUCUCAUGUUGCCCAUGAAUUACAUACAGCUCUGCUAAUGCCUGACAUAGAAAAUGAACAUGUUAAUAUAAACAGUGUGUUAGAGAUUCAUAAUGCAAAUAUAUAUAGUCAAACUAACCUCCUUGAGUGGAUCUGUCAUGGAUGAAGUAUUCAGCUGAGGUUCGAUAGCCGAAAUAACAGGCAUUACAGAAUAAAUUACAGGAGGCCAGGAUUUAACAGUGGACAAGAGAUCCUUAUGAAAAGAAGGAUUUGUAGCCAAUGCAACUAGAGCAACCUGUAGGAAAAAAAAAAGAUUAAGGUCCAAGUCCGAAGAUUAAAGAUACAACAGGGAAACAUUAGUUAUCAGUGACUGCUUUGUUUAAAGGCUUCGGCUAACCUCAUAAGCAGUAUCACGCAAUCUAGGAUUUUCUGUAGGCAUGUAAGGAACCAAAACAGGGAGUUGGCGGAGGUGUGCAAAGUGGAAAACCCAUCUGUUGAAAGCAAUACAUUGACAUUCAAUUACCAAACAACUGACUCAAGAACUGUACAACAGACUACAACUGCGCAUAUGUGGUACUGGUACCUCUCCCAUGCUGAGGCUGAUCCUCGAAGCAACUUUGGACAUAAAGAAGCUGCUUCAGCAUAUUUUCUUUCCACGAUCAAAUGAUCAAGGUAUCUAGAACCCACCUGCAAAGAUAAAAUGCACUUGCACUCAGAUGGACAAAUUCACCAAGAACAAUUCAUAGGUACAUUCGUACAUAUAUAAUAUGCCAUGUAGAGUGAUUAUGAUUCAAGAAAUAUUAGCGUUAGCAUGAUAAUAAAAUGUCAAUUAAGAAACUACAGAAAAAAUGGUCAAUCAAGCUUCAAAACUGAUUGAAUCAAUUUAAUUUUCUCCAAUCUCCAUAGAUAAAGGUACAGACGAUUAACAAAAUGAAACCAAAUUUUACCAAGUAUAUAAAAUUGUAGGUUUCAUUUCAUUUCCUUUUGAGCUUGCAUCUUGGGUCAACUAUUAUACAUUGUUGUAGAUAGAAAAUAAUCGAUGACAAAUUAUUUGGAAAACUAUAUAGUUCAGGAAACUUCACAUACACGCAAUCCUAUACUUUGCAUACACAGAAUUGAGUGCCUCAAUGAGCACACAUGCAGAACCUUAUUACACUGUUAUGUGCUAAACGCUCACCUUUUUUUUUUAAUUUACAAGCAUACAUCUAACUAUAAUAAUAAUAAUAAAACUAAUGAUAAUAAUAAUAAUAAAGUGGAAUUAAGAUAAAUACCUCAUCAACUAGUUCGCUCCGCCCCUGACCAGAUUCAACCACAGCCAAAGCUUUUUCAUGCCACCCAUGUUGAAGAAGCCAAGCGAUAUGAUCUUCAACGUCCCUGAUUAUUAAAAUGCAUUAAAUUCUACCCAUAUUUUUUAUUCACUUUUUUCUAAUUUGUAUACUAACUUAUAAAAAUAGCAUAUAAGAAACUUAAGAUAAAUUGCAGCCUUCUUUUAGUUUUGAUUUGACUUUCCUAGUCCCUUCAGGACAACAUAGAUUGAUUUCCUAUCAAAAGGAAUAUAACAAAUAAAGAAGGAUCACUGGCAUAGGGAAAAACAUGGCACUUUCUCUACAGCCACUUUAAGGCAUCUGAAUUUUCUUGAUUAAAAUGAGUAACAAAUACCGACUUCUUCAAUUAUCAUUCUAUGACAUUAAACGAAAUAAACAGAAAUAUCACAAACACUGAUAAACUGAAUAACGUUGAACAUCGAAACCUAUCGCAGCAUCUUAAAUACUAACAUUUUCCAUGCCAAGCAGUCAGCUGGCAAGAGUAACUAAUGAAAUAUAUACAAUUCUAAAUACAAUAUCUAUCACAAUAGGUGGAUGAUAUGAAGUAUUGAGGUUUAAAACCAUUUUCCCCUCAAUCACCUACCCAGAGCAGAAAAAAGCAUUUCAAGACAGUAGAAUGAAGUCAAUUGAGAACAUAGCAUCCUUCUUUUCUUAUUAAUAUUGUUUGUGAUAAGUCAACACAAAUGCAUCAAUCACUUAGAACAAUACAAUAGGAUCAAGAAGUUGUGGUGUUGACAUCAACCUUGGCUUUGCAAUAACUACAUCCUUUGGGGAUACAAUAUAAUAAACUGGUUCAUCACCUGCAGCCCAUUGACCACCAGCAUAACUGCUACCUACAUUCGAAUGAACAAGCAACUAUAGUCUAUAAUCAUGCAGAACCAUUGCAUACAUAAAACAUAGAUCAUAAAGAGAAAAAAAAGCUAAACAGGAGUUUACCCGAAAAGGGAGAAUGAGCAAGAGAAUAGUCCUUUGCCUUGUAAUGCUCAAAGCCAUGUAAUGGUAGAGCAUCUGUUGAAAGUUCAUCAUUGUUCCGUGUUGCUAUCCGUACUUCUGGUCUUUGUGCAUUACCCUGUUUAAAAUUACACUUAUCUUGAGAACAAAUCAAUUUUCAAUAUAAUAUGAAGAGGACAAUGCAAGUAUUGCUUUACUUUUCUUUUCCUUUUAUGAUUCAUAUAUUAAUUAAGUACAAAAUUGUUUCCACAUCUAAGUGCCAUUGACACAUAAAGUUAGCGCUAAACAUUCUCUAAAGUUUUAUCCAUCUAAUGUGAUGACCCGGGUUUAUAUGAUGUUUUUAGGGUUUUCCUUGUGGGUUUUGAGUCUUUUUCUUGUGUCUCAUGUAGUGUUUCAUGCAUUCUCAUGCAUUUUUAUCUUUUCUUGANNNNNNNNNNNNNNNNNNNNNNNNNNNNNNNNNNNNNNNNNNNNNNNNNNNNNNNNNNNNNNNNNNNNNNNNNNNNNNNNNNNNNNNNNNNNNNNNNNNNNNNNNNNNNNNNNNNNNNNNNNNNNNNNNNNNNNNNNNNNNNNNNNNNNNNNNNNNNNNNNNNNNNNNNNNNNNNNNNNNNNNNNNNNNNNNNNNNNNNNNNNNNNNNNNNNNNNNNNNNNNNNNNNNNNNNNNNNNNNNNNNNNNNNNNNNNNNNNNNNNNNNNNNNNNNNNNNNNNNNNNNNNNNNNNNNNNNNNNNNNNNNNNNNNNNNNNNNNNNNNNNNNNNNNNNNNNNNNNNNNNNNNNNNNNNNNNNNNNNNNNNNNNNNNNNNNNNNNNNNNNNNNNNNNNNNNNNNNNNNNNNNNNNNNNNNNNNNNNNNNNNNNNNNNNNNNNNNNNGUAUGAGAGAAUUGCUUAUGUGAGGAAUCAAUAAGUGAGUAACUAGGCUAUAUCAUCAAGGAGAGAUUCAUGAGUUCAUGUGCUUAGAAUGAUGUGCUUAAAUUGACUAGUUGAACAAGAACCCAAAGCAUGAUAUUUUCUGAAUUGUCUCUUUAUUUUUCCUUUUCCUUAUUACUACUUUAACAUAUGUUUGCCUCAAUAAAACCAACCUUCAAACUCAAAGCUUAAACUGAAUUUAGUCACUCACAAUCCCUGUGGUUCGAUAUUUAAAACCGGGUGGAUUCGUACACUUGCGGAUUUACCAACAUAAUGAUAGCAAUAGCAUUAUCAAGAAAAUGCAAAGAUGACAUAACACAUUCAUGAGACAUACCGGACUAAAUAAUGUAAUAACAUUAGAAUGUAUAAGAAAGAAUGAAUGAAGAAAAGUAGUUGUAGCUUAGGAAAUAGUAAAAGUGGGGGUAGAGUAUUACAGGUGCCGUGCAAUGUCAGUGUGAGAAGUUAAAUAAUUUCAUUUGAUAAUAUCAUAUACCUGCCGUGAAGGAGCAGAGCUACUAAAAUCCGUUUCUCCAUCUUCUUCUCCAGGAAUAUAUGCUAGAACAACCAAAGCAUCACCAAAGGGGGCAAUUCCUGAGAUGAAAUAGCUAGUUUGAAAAGAUGCCACAAUAUCCACCUGGGUCAUUCCAGACAAAGGAACUUGCCUGUACGUCCCAUUGACGGCUUGAUGACGGUUUGUCCUUAUCGAAGCAAUUUUGACAGAUGUUCCCCAGCCUAUUACCAAAAGGGUGUCAUCCUGUAAAAUAUGAAAGGAGCUUAAACUAAAGCAGUCCAAUCAAGAAAUGACACGAGGACAAAUAAAAUGUAACCACAGCAGUAUAGAGCAUCAAAAAAGCCUUCAAUUUAAUCAUAGUAGUGGACACUGCUUCUGGUAUUUCAUAACCAAAAAGCAAGCCUGCAUAUAUAUUUCACUAACCUGCCAAACCAAGUGAGGAACCAAAAUCUCAGGUCGAGGGCUACUUCGUGGCCUUUCAAUAAAUGUUACACGUUGGUCAUUGGCAGUAUCAUAAACCUUCACUCCUGCAUCAUUUGCCCAAGCAACAAGACUUGUUCUCCACUUCACUGCAUGUAUUGGACCUUCUCCAGAGUGCAAAACCUUUUUUGUUUUCAGAGAACGAGAUAUUUUUAUAGCCAAUAAUUCACAGCACUAGAGGAAUACCGAGAGUUUAUCAAUAAAACGCAAGAAGAAUCUGACAAACCUGGUCACGAUAUCCUAACCACCUCUUUGAAUUUAAAUAUAAAUUCCCUGCUAAACCACCAGCAACAAAUCUCCUAGCCGUGUUUCUAGCAUAAUCCGGGUCCAGAGCAAUCGCCUUCAUAGGGCGAUGAUACUCAAACUUCAUCUUCUCAUCAGAAAAGAGGCUGCUUAUUACAACCGAUCCAUCAUCCGAACAGCUUCCAAUAUAUUCACCAUCUUUAUCAAAGCUGAGGUCAUUCACAACCGCAACAUGAGCAGCGAAUUCUUUCACCUGGAAUUAGAUGACUCAUUAUAACAAGUUUCUCAAAAAUCAUAUCAAUUAAACACCGCCACGCCGAUUAUAACCUAACCCGUAACACAUCAACACCUAAAACCAAUCACCUACAACAAGUCUUCUCUAACGUGAGAAACUAAUAUUGUAUUUAUAUUAGAAUUUGGGCGGUCCAACUCAACAGUUUACUGUUGCUCUAUCCUAUAUAAAGGUUAUCUAUGUCUUAUCUCUAGCCAAUGUGCGACUUCUAACAAUGCUUCUACAAAGUAAACUAAAUCUAUAAUUGAUUUAGAAGCUGGAUUUUCACGGAAACAUUGAUUCGCGAAAAUUGAUGCAUAAUAAGAGUGGCUAUAAAAUUAGGUGACGAAUGAGAGAGAACGGUAGCUAACCUGAUUCCCGAGGAAAUCAAGGAUGUGAACGACGCCGUCGUGAGUACCGAGAGCGAUCAUCCGUUCGGCGACGGCGAUGCAAGACGCUCCAUCACUGGCUAGAAGCGAAGGUACGCUUCCUCCCAUUCUCUGGUACUUGAGCCGUGGCUCUUCCUCUUCUUCAUCUACGCCUUCAUCGUCUUCUUCUUCAUCUUCUUCUUCGUCCUCUUCUUCUUCUCUCUCAUCGUCGCCUUCGACGCCGUUCUCGGAGGGAAUCGGAGCCAUUCGUGCGAAUUCGAACGGAGAUCUGUUCGUUACGGAGAAUUAAUAUAUCGUUCGUUUUUUUCUUCUUAUUUUCUUUUUCGGUCUUUUUUUGAAAUUUUGGAUUGUUGUUCAGGUACGGUGGACGGGAAUGAAGAGGGAUCGGAAAGUGCGAGUUCAAGGGGAUGAGGGACUUUUUAGUUUUAAAACAGUUUGCUGGUUAAAAUUAAUGUAACUAAUGAGGUAGACGACAAUAACAGCAACAGAGCGUGGAAAGUGAUUGGGGACACGUGUCACUUGCAUUUGGACUUUUGCUAUGGAAUAUGACACUCUUUAGUCACUUAUUUAUAUGGUUAAACUAGAGAUUGAGAGUGUUUAGUGUUGGUUUAUGGUGCUUUAAAACAAUUGAAGCUCGUUGUUUGUAAGACCCAAGUUUUUAAGUUUAGAAUAAGUGAAUAAAAUUCUUAUUCGCGAUUAGGUUUGAUGUAUCGUGAAGGGAAACCUGAACAAGAGUUUACUAAAUGAAAUAAAUUUAUGAAGGAGAAAGUUCAGGAAAAGUCUAAAGGAUUGCAUCAAUGUCGAUAAAAGUUAUAGCACGAUCGAUAUACNNNNNNNNNNNNNNNNNNNNNNNNNNNNNNNNNNNNNNNNNNNNNNNNNNNNNNNNNNNNNNNNNNNNNNNNNNNNNNNNNNNNNNNNNNNNNNNNNNNNNNNNNNNNNNNNNNNNNNNNNNNNNNNNNNNNNNNNNNNNNNNNNNNNNNNNNNNNNNNNNNNNNNNNNNNNNNNNNNNNNNNNNNNNNNNNNNNNNNNNNNNNNNNNNNNNNNNNNNNNNNNNNNNNNNNNNNNNNNNNNNNNNNNNNNNNNNNNNNNNNNNNNNNNNNNNNNNNNNNNNNNNNNNNNNNNNNNNNNNNNNNNNNNNNNNNNNNNNNNNNNNNNNNNNNNNNNNNNNNNNNNNNNNNNNNNNNNNNNNNNNNNNNNNNNNNNNNNNNNNNNNNNNNNNNNNNNNNNNNNNNNNNNNNNNNNNNNNNNNNNNNNNNNNNNNNNNNNNNNNNNNNNNNNNNNNNNNNNNNNNNNNNNNNNNNNNNNNNNNNNNNNNNNNNNNNNNNNNNNNNNNNNNNNNNNNNNNNNNNNNNNNNNNNNNNNNNNNNNNNNNNNNNNNNNNNNNNNNNNNNNNNNNNNNNNNNNNNNNNNNNNNNNNNNNNNNNNNNNNNNNNNNNNNNNNNNNNNNNNNNNNNNNNNNNNNNNNNNNNNNNNNNNNNNNNNNNNNNNNNNNNNNNNNNNNNNNNNNNNNNNNNNNNNNNNNNNNNNNNNNNNNNNNNNNNNNNNNNNNNNNNNNNNNNNNNNNNNNNNNNNNNNNNNNNNNNNNNNNNNNNNNNNNNNNNNNNNNNNNNNNNNNNNNNNNNNNNNNNNNNNNNNNNNNNNNNNNNNNNNNNNNNNNNNNNNNNNNNNNNNNNNNNNNNNNNNNNNNNNNNNNNNNNNNNNNNNNNNNNNNNNNNNNNNNNNNNNNNNNNNNNNNNNNNNNNNNNNNNNNNNNNNNNNNNNNNNNNNNNNNNNNNNNNNNNNNNNNNNNNNNNNNNNNNNNNNNNNNNNNNNNNNNNNNNNNNNNNNNNNUUUAAAAACAUAAAUAACAUUCAGCCUUUUUUCCUAGAAGAACUGAAUAUAAAUAACAUAAAUAUCAAAAUUUAACUCCCUUUUAAAACCAUGCUUUAAUCCUCCAUUCCUUGAUUUUCUCCUUCUCCAUAAACACCAUAAAUCACCUUAAAACAUGAGAAAAAAACCUCACCUUUCUUCCCCACACCUCUAGGCCGCCCAUUCCCUACUUUUCUUCAGAUUUUUCACUCAAAAACUCAUGUAACACAAAACCAAGUCAAAGACAUGUGAUUAAGUGCAUUAACCACCAUGUUUUCCCUCUUAAUGAACCAUAAAACCUCAAAUUUGAAUUUCAAAACCUCUUCAUCUUUUUCAUCUUCAAAAAUUAGACCAUGCCUUCAUUAAGGCUCCAAAAAUAUUUACAAAAUUAUUUAUUUAAUAAACCAUAGGUUUAAAAAUAAUUAAAUACAUUUUAUUUAAAUAAAACCUCGAAAAAUAAAACAAUGCAAUAUUCCCUUAUGGAAUAUUCUUAGAACCAUGCCCAACACCUCCCCAUAAGGUGUGACCCAUGAAACUGUCCUCGCCGACUCGAUUCGCCAACUCAUCGCCAUUGUCGGGCCGAUUUUAACCUAAAAGUCGUCGGAAAAUAACCCUAGCGAUAUUACAGUCAAAACGAUCGUAAUGAUGAGUACAUCGUCAUCUAGAUAUUGUUAAGGUCUAAUAAUGUCCCUAAUAAAAUAAUUUCCCUUAUUAAGGGCAUCAUAUCACAUAUAACACAAACAAUUUCCAAAAUAUUAUUUAAUAUUAUUAUUAAUAUAAUAUGCCUUAAAACGGGGUCUUACAGUGAUAGGUAUAUUGAAAUAAAUGUCAGAAUUAAUGAGAAAGAUAAAUGGUAAGUUAGGAAGUUAGAUAAUAUUUUUAAUAAAAUAAAAACAUUAUAUAUUAUUCCUUAAUAAAUGUGGCACAACCUUAAAGUGUCAGUCAAUGUUUGCAGAAUCGAAUCGGACCAACCAGUCAGACCGGGGACCGAUUCUAAGCUAAUUCGGUCCUUGCAGAUUAUCGGAGUUGGUCAAAACUUGUGAAACCGACCAAAAACCAAGGAGACCGGUAAAAACCGACGGUCCGCCGGUUUGAAUCGAAUCUGGUUCACCAACCUUCCUAUGCAACCGACAAUGUAUUUCCAUUGGAGAAACCUGAUGGUUCAUCUAAGGCUUCAUUAACAUGAAGUAGGGAAGCAGAUAAAGUGGGAACCACCAUAGAGUUUAUAAUUAGAGCAGUGAACUUAUGAGAAUUGAUGAAAUAUGAGAAAACAACAUUGAAAGCUAACUGGGAAGCACAGAUCAGUGAAUAAGUAGAAGCACAGAGGUAUAAGAAUCGAGUGGAAUACAUCAUGUUCUCAGCAGCAAUUAGGACUCCGAGAACAAAAUAUAUCAAAAGAAGAACUUUGAUGGAAGGUGGAGCUGAAGAAGCUGAAGCCUCGCGAGGCGAAAGAAUUGCAAAGGAUGGAAUGAGCAGGAUUGGGAAGGCAGCAGUUUGGACCAAACUCACUAAAGUAGCCAUCCAUUUACUAUUUCCACCUUGUUCAUAAUAAAAUCUUUCAAGGAUAAUUGCAGCGGAUUGGCCUAUAAUAAGAAAUGAUAUGCUGAGUGCCACCAUAAGCCACCACUGCCAAUGCUUAUACUUAUCAAAUAGUACUCCCUCCGUUCCAAAAUGUAAGUUGUUUUAGAAUUUGUACUAUAUUCCAAAAUAUGAGUUGUUUUGCAAAACCAAUGCACUUUUUCUCUCUUUCUUCCUUAUAUACCCUCAUUUAAUAUUAUCUCUUAAUUACCACCUUCAAUUUUCACCUAUCACAACUCUCACUAUCCACUUAAUCAAUAUAAUAACAUUUCUCUCUCCUUAAUAUAACACAACUUUAAAUAUGGGUAUUUUAAUCAAAAAAUUAUCAAAUUCAGAACUUGCUACAGCUAAGAUCACUGGUUCUUCAUAAUCUGUAAUUGAAAGCAGCAUUAAAUUUGCAGUCUUCUUUAAGUAUUUUAAAAGUAAACACAAGAACAUCCAAAUAAAAGUAAGUGCAUGUUUGGAAAAAGAGAAACUACAGUGAGUAGCUUCUAUUGUCAAAAUUGAUGUUGAGAAUAAAUAGCUGAUCGAAACAUGUUAUAAAUGAAAGAAAGAAAAAGGAAAAAAUAAAUGUGGUUAGGAUUUGAAUAUAGGUAUAUUCCAAGGUUCAUUCACAUGGAAGAAUGGUGAUUUGGUAUAAUUUAUACUAGUUACGAUGGACGGGUAAAAUUUUGAUUACCAAUGUUGUUUUUUUUGGUAAACACAAAGGCAAUCCAAUUUUGAUCCCAAAUGUUAUUUUUUUUACUAGCAAUGACCAUCUAAAGAUGUUUUACAAAGAUGUAAAAUUGCUUACAUUCGUAGCCUGGUCAAUUUGGGUAAUAAGGAUUAAGGAAUGCGAUUAUAUUUCCAAGAUCUCAUUUGAUAGAAGUUGAUCGAGUACCGGAAAGGAUUAAGUGGAAAUCUUGGUUGUGGUUCCGGUGCAGACUUAAAUACUUUCAUGGCAUUUUAUUCGAGUGGUCCUCACUCCCAUUAAGCUGCCUACUAGACUCGUAACGGGGGAGGAUGGAGCUAGUUAUUGUAUGUCUAUUUUUGUUUGUCACUUAGGCGGGGUUCCUUUGUAGCUGCUAAGGGAAUUGUGUGUUUAGAGGGGAAGAGAUGUGUAAGGAGUUCAAGUUCAAGGUUGGAAUAUAGUUCAUUUCCCUAAAACAGUUUAAGGAUGCACUGUAUGUUGAAAGUAAGUGCUUAAUGCACUUUAUUCAGGUUGCCUUGUUCCCAUCAUUUUAUAUGGUUUAUAUUGGUUUCGUCUACCAAACUAACCCACGGUGCUUCCGUUUACAUUUUUUUUUUUUGGUUACAGGUGCUUCAGUUUACAUUACACCCUUGAUUUAAUAGUUUUUAUAUUUUAAUGGUUGAGAUUAAUUUGAAUUAAGAAAAAUCAUUUAUUAAAUAUAUAUUAAUUUACUAAAAGACUCAUACCACUUAUCCUCUACCAACUUACCCAUUGACACCAUUAUUUUCGGUGACUUUCAUUGUCCACUCUGGCAACCCACCAUUAUUUCCGAUGGCACCUUCACUGCUUCCCUUCUUCCCCUCACCUCCACACCAAAACAAAGCAUUAUUCAUUUCAAUCAAAUAAACUAAAUGAGGAAGCAAAUCACUAUCUAUUUUCAGCCAAAGAAACUCAUUGUACAGGGCUAUGCAAGUUUCAGAAUAGAGUACAAACCAAAAGUAAUCACUAAAACCAAAACAAAUGCAAAAGAAAUAAAAGAUGAUGAAUAUAGCGACAUCAUCACCCCUCAAAUCUACAAUCAUGCCCAGAUCUCUUUCACUGACUUUCAAUUGCAAAUAUUUCCAGCACAAAUCACUACCAAGUUCUUCUCUUUCGUCGCAUUUUGGGUUUUUCAGCUCUUUCUUGCGGAGCUUCAAACGGUUCAUGGAGAUUUUCAUUCAGAUUUGAGCUGCAAGUUACAAAUCAAAAGCAAGUCCACUUUUUUUUUUAGAAUGUAACAAGAAAAGCACCGAAAUACAAGAUCCACAUUGAAACCCCAUAUCUAGAUCAAAACCCAGAUCGAUAUUAGAACCCAGAUCUGGGCUGAGAUCACAGUGAAGAGAUGACGAACUUGGGCUUCUCUUUCCGAUUCCGGCCAAACCACGAGCCAUAUGACGGAACCACCACCACCAUCAUACUCCCCUCGCCGUCCGCAACAAAACCCCCAAGUCAGAUCGUCGUUCCGCAACCGCCGGCCGCCGCCACCGCCACCUGUAAAUCCCCACCACGAGAAGAAGAGGUUCCAACUCUCAAUUCUUCUCCGGCGACUUCCGGUGGAGGAUAAAGACAUGCAAAGGUCACCGGUGGUGGCCAGUGGAGGGGACUCUAAGACUAAGGUUGGAAAAGAGGCAUUUUGAUGUCUGGAAACUGGAAGGAGAAGAUCUGGAAAGCUCAAAUCUAGAAGUUCUAGUGGUUAAGGAUGAGAUCCCGGUCAUUGUACGGCAGCAGUGGUGGCCGGUCAGAAUUGGUAGUGGUUGUGUGGCAAGGCUUAGUGAGAGGAGAGGUGGUGAGAGANNNNNNNNNNNNNNNNNNNNNNNNNNNNNNNNNNNNNNNNNNNNNNNNNNNNNNNNNNNNNNNNNNNNNNNNNNNNNNNNNNNNNNNNNNNNNNNNNNNNNNNNNNNNNNNNNNNNNNNNNNNNNNNNNNNNNNNNNNNNNNNNNNNNNNNNNNNNNNNNNNNNNNNNNNNNNNNNNNNNNNNNNNNNNNNNNNNNNNNNNNNNNNNNNNNNNNNNNNNNNNNNNNNNNNNNNNNNNNNNNNNNNNNNNNNNNNNNNNNNNNNNNNNNNNNNNNNNNNNNNNNNNNNNNNNNNNNNNNNNNNNNNNNNNNNNNNNNNNNNNNNNNNNNNNNNNNNNNNNNNNNNNNNNNNNNNNNNNNNNNNGGGGAGAAGAAAGACAUGCAAAGUUUCCGGGUGGUGGCCAGUGGAGGUGACUCUAAGACUAAGAUUGGAAAAGCGGCAGCCAUGGUGGAUUGCUCUCUGAUUUGUGAAAAGUGAUGGCUUUUGAUGUCUGGAAACUGGAAGGAGAAGAUCUGGAAAGCUCAAAUCUAGAAGUUUUAGUGGUUAAGGAUGAGAUCCAGGUCAUUGUACGGCGGUAGUGGUGGCCGGUUAGAAUUGGUGGUGGUUGUGUGGCAAGGCUUAGUGAGAUGAGGUGAGAGAAAAGGAGAAGGAUGGAAGGUGAAAAGAAAAAAAUGGACAAUUUUGUAAUUAUGCUGUGAAACAGUAACUGGUCCACCGUGGGUCAGUUUCAGUUUGAAACUGACACACGGUAGAUGCAGCCGCGGGUUAUAUUGCUUGUUGUCUGAAUGCUCAAUUUCUUCAUUUCAUUUCUUUUCAUUUCCCUUUCAUUUCACACAAAAGAUAAAUUCAUUUCAUUUCACACCAAAGCUAAAUUCAUUUCAUUGCAUUUGAACCAAAGUUUUUACAUCUACAUGAGUAUCAUGUGUGAGGCAACCAUCCCCAUCACAAUCAGAAUUUGACUUUAACAUCUACCAACCAAAAAACCAAACUUAAUGUCAAACUUAAAACAUCUACCAACCAUAGCUACUCAUUACAUAAAUGACACAUGGGUUUGGCCAUCAGAGUUAUUCAUGGUCAUUUCACACAAAGAUAAAUUCAUUUCAUUUCAUUUGAACCAAAACUUUUACAUCCACAUAAAUAUUAUGUGUGAGGCAUCCACCCCAUCACAACCAGAGCUUCACUUUAAUAUCCUCAUUACCUAAAUGACACAUGAGUUGGGUCAUCAGGGUCAAUCACUCAUAGUUAGAGGGAAACAAAGAAAUGUGUACCUACCCUUUUACCUUACGAGUUACGACCAAUAAUAGCAUGUACUACUAUUAUAAGCAUAAUAAAAAAGCAUAUAAUAGAAUAAACUAAUAAAUUAAUUAAUUAAUUUAUAAUCUAUAUCUAUAUAUAAACAAUGCAAUGUAAUAUUGAGAAUCAGAAGAGAAGAGAAGAAGGCAAGGAAGAGAGAUGGAGACUAUGUGUCAUUGUUCAAAGUUUCUUCUUUCGCCGGAGAAACCCACCGCCGCCGCUUCUUCUUCUUCUCUUUCUCCGACCACCACCACCACAUACGCUCUCAUUAUUCUCAAUCAACGCCUCCCAGAUUCACUCCUCUGUUUUGGGAACACGGUACUGCUCUGCUCUUUCGUUCCUUCUUCAACUUCCUUAAGGUCUUCAAACCUGGGCCUCUAAACUUCUCAAGUUGGCUAUAAAUACAUGUUUUCCAUACAUCAUAAACUAAGAAACCUUCCUUUUCAGCACUAGUUCUAAUGAGAACAAUACUAGAGCUUAACUUGUUCCAUUCUUCUUUUCCUAAAACAAAGUAUUGCUAAACAUCAUCACACACCAGUGUACAUAAUACACCCGAAAGGAAAAUGAUCAGAGCUUUAUACAAUAUCAAAUCUUGCUACCAAUUUAAACUUUAGUAAUCACUACUAAGAUGAUGUAAAAUAUGCACAUUCUAGAAACGCUAUAUUAUUUAAUGCAAUAAGAGAAACUAGGAUUUCUAUAUAUAUGCACACAAAACUUCUCAGGCAAAAGUUGUAGACCCUCUUUAUUCUUUUACACUUACAGCAUUGCAAGUCAAUCUGAAAACAUAUAUCAAACCUUAAAGGCACAACGAGCAUCCGGUCAUAAACUCAAAUAAACCCACUUCCCAUAGACAACCCGACUAGCACGAUCAUAUUCACAACUCUGGUUUGAAUAAAUAUACACAGUCUCAGAUUAUUUGAUAUUCGAAAAGGAAACAGAAACUAGACAUAUCACAUUUAAGAGUCAUGACCAUUUGCCUAAGUAACCAUAAUCACACAUAUCUGACAAUACAUAAAGAGAGUUCCAAUUUAGUACCAUAUGUAAACAACAGGGUAUCUGAACUUUUAAACAAACAAAUUUAAAAGCAAACCCCUGUUGGGAAUCACAAAAAUCAAUUAUCCAUUGUGAAAGAAACAAUUUUUUAAUCCAGCUGUUAAAGAAAUACUUAAGACAUACGAGGUAUGUUGUUUAUGUCUUACGAACUGAAAGGAAGCAUAAGAGAGUCAUGUAAUCUUGCACUGCAGAAACAUGUGUCUUGAAAUUUAGCUAAAGGAAGAAUCAAGAUCUCACAUUUAGCAAUAUAAUCCUAUGCAUUUUAAUGUGAUGUGUUGUGACACAAAAGACUAAGCAAUAAGCUCUAAAACUAAGCAUCAAGUCAAUGAUGCAAAAUAACCUGAAAUAAAACACCCACAUCCUUAAUAAUUCACUAGCAUGAACCAUAAACUAUUUUUCCAUUUCCUUGCUGGUUAUAGUCAGAAAUAAAAUAUAAUUAAAAGGGACAACACAUACUUGCUUGUGUACAAUGAGGUCCAUGGCUCAAACAUGAUUACAGGAUGCAUUGCCCUUCAAAGGACAUAUUAGAAGUUUCAACUAAUAAUUGCCAACAAAACUAAACACCAUGAGAUAAAUUCACUAAAGGAUUCAAUGCCCAAAUGCUAUUCAUCAAGAUCGACCUCCCUAAGAAAAAAGAUUCAGAAAACAAUAUCAUGACUUCAUUAAACUACUAGAUUAUGACCAUUUUGACAAGUGCAAAUAUAACCCAUUAAAUACAUUGUUGAAGAGACCAUAUAAAGCGUAACUUAAUCUCUGACAGAUGUUGAUGUGUAACUGGAAACCGACGUCCUAGAUCACCAUUUGUCAUCCACAUUAUUCUGAGCACGCCUCUUAAAAGGUGGACCACUAUCUGUAUCAGAUUCACCCUGCACAGUAAAAUUAAAAAUCACCUUGAUAGCCUCAAUUUUUUUUUCCAGUCAUAGAUAACAACAUUAUAAGGACAAUAGAAUGUGUUGCCAUUAACACUACUUGCAGAGCUAAGUCGAAGAUAAUGUUCGAGUCACUGUUGCUGAAACUAACCUCAUCAUUCUUCUGCUGAAAAAGAGGCUCCACAUGUAUAAUUAAUUAUAACCUUGAUAGCCUCAAAUAUUUUUUUCCAGCUAUAGAUAACAUUAUAAUGACAAUAGAAUGUGUUGACAUUAACACUACUUGUAGAACUAAGUCCAAGACAAUGUUCAAGUCACGGUUGCUGAAACUAACCUCAUCUUCAUCUUCCGAAGAAAAAGAGGCUCCACAUUCAUCCUGCACAAUGGAUAAUUGAUUUUAAACAAACAAAUUUAAAAGCAAACCCCUGUUGGGAGUCACAAAAAUCAAUUGUCUAUUGUGAAAGAAACAAGUUUUUAAUCCAGCUGUUAAAGAAAUAUAAAGGAAUUUAGCUAAAGAAAGAAUCAGGACCUCAAAUUUAGUACUACUAUACAAUUUAAUGUGAUAUGUUGUGACACAACAAACUAAGCAAUAAGCUCUAAAAACUAAGCAUCAAGUCAAUGAUGGACAAUAACCUCAAAUAAAACACCCACAUCCUUAAUAAUUCAUUGACAUAAACCAUAACUAUUUUGCCAUUUCCUUGCUGGUUACAGUCAGAAAUAAAAUAUAAAUACAAG
rnacentral:lncRNA from 1 species